GUACUGAGAUCAUCAUGGAGCGUGCCACUCUCGUCUUGAUGGCUGAGAUUCAGGGGUAGGUAGAUAGGAAGGGAAUAUAACUGCCUGCUCUGGAGCAAUGGUGUUGAUGAUGAUCCUGAUCCUCUGCACGGCGUUCUUUUGCCGUUGUGGUUGCUGAAGACGAAGACUGAGUCCGAGAUGUGGAUCUGGGUAAGCUCAUGAAACGAUUAAUUUGAUGGCAUCGACGCUAUGUAUUUCAUCUUGGUGCCUUAAAAACCGCUGAUCGUUGGGACUAAAAUAGACCCAAAUCAUUCGGUUUUAAUUGCCCUUUAAUAGAAAUGUUCUCUUGAGUAGUACCCCAAUACUGCUAUCUACAAAUAUACAUGAGGUGCAAAAGCUGAAGACCGUUUUCCUAUCAUCUUGAGAUUUACGAGGUCAUCGUAGGCGCCUUUUCAUGGACAGGAACGUUUCCUUCCCCUAAAAACACAUCGCCGAAAAUCCUGAAAUAAAUUCAGAAAUAAUGCAAGCACCGGGACUUGAACUUUAGGCUGGAGAUACCACUAUCCCUCUAACCAUUCUCCUUUCCAAAUAAUGAAAAUAAAUGAAGUUACUCAAUUUCAUCUGGAAUUCAUCAGUUAAAAUAGUGUGAUAAUGUUGAGAUUGCUCAUGUCGAAGGUUAAACUUUUGUCAUCUGGCACACAACGAUCAGAAAAUGGAUUCGGUAAAAGGUACAGUGCCACACGUGAGAUCCUAUCCUUCUUUAUGUUGUGUUAUUGCAGUCAGAUACGAGAUUCAAACUUCUGGGUACCUUUAUGUUGUGCAUUGUUAAUUGAGUGUCUUGUACAGUAGUACUAGUUGCCCACAUUUUGGUUAUAGAGGAGACAACCGUUACUACUCUUUUUUUUUAAGUUAAGCAACCGUUACUACUAGGAGCCGGUCAUAGUUCUUAAGAUAAACAAAUUAUCACUCCUUGCUAAAAACAGCUGAAAAGUCAUGCUGCACCCUUUUUUGGGAGCGUCAUGUUGGGCCUCUUUGGAACGCACAUCAAUAGGACGUUUGACAUGGGAGUGUGAAGUUUUUGGUGGACGGGUACAUUGAAGGACUUCAUUUCAAAUGAUACAAUAAUGAUAUUUCUAAGUUAAAAAAAUCCAUGAAAACUUAUUCAUAUACGCGACGUAUCUGUAAAAUCUCAUUCAAAAAUAUUAUGAUUUGCAAGCUGCACAAAGAAAAAACAAAAUUCUGGUCCAACAACAACAAAUGGCUCAUUCUCAUGUACAUAUUUAUUUUUUCAUAUACACCACAUAUGAAAGUAUAUUUUUAUGAAAAAUUUACUGAACGUAUUAUAUAUGUAUUUUUUUUGUAAAGUCCACUAUGGAGCCCGUCCUCCAUUUGCUCUUUUGGGUUUGACACAUAGCGAACGCAUAAAUAGAAAAUUACAUGACAUAUGCACAGACAAAAUUUCCAAGAGGCGAGACCUCGCACUAGGAUUCUUCUGGAGUUCCAGUAUAAAAAUCACUACCUCGCCGCAAAAAAAAUGAAAAAAAAAAUCACUACCAAUUUUUUCAUUCCUUUGAAAGUUGAAACAAAGAGCAAGUAGGCAGCAGUUUCUUAAAAAAAAAUCUGUUCGAUCCAAAAGGUCCCUGCCACACGUGCUCCUUGCUGGCUAUCCCUUGUCUCUUUCGGUUCGCUCCAACUCAGUGCGAACGAACAGACAAAACCAAUCACAAUUGGCACCACCGUAGCGACAUCGUCAGGAAUCUUCAUCGUUGUUUUCAGGAUGCACUAGCGUGUCGACAAUGUCAGGAAUCUUGAUUGUUGUUCGGUGCUAGUCUCGUGACGACGAUCGUGAUUUGUACCGUGCGCGUGGAUGAUUGUUCCGCGACUAGCGAAGUUCCUUUUCUUUCGCCAGGAGCCCUGCACUAUAAAGCAGUCCAGCGAUGUAACCAAACAGUAUAGACUUUUUCUUAAGGGACUAGGCCCUUUUCGGUCCCUAUGUAACUAAACAGGAGAUAUUCUUUUAGGGGGCUAGAAAAAAAUUCUAUUAGAGGGUCUUUUUUCUUUAGCAUUUGGGACUAGAAAAAGUCUAGUCCCUUACAACGAAACACCCCGUACUGUAGCAACGGUCUUUUUUCCUCCCUCUUUCAUCUUUUAGGCCAACUCCAGCGCGCGAUCCCAUCCUGUCCGGGGGUGCAUCCGUUUGGGCAAAACGGGCAUAUCAGACGGCCCAGCGCGCAAGCGCAAACGGACUUUUGUCCGUUUUAUGUCCGUCCCAUCCCGGACCCAAGUUUGGGCCGCUUUUGAGGUGAAACGGACAACGCGCGAACGGAUGUCCCGCGUGUGCUUGUCCUCCCCUGGCCCGCCCGUUGGUGGCAAAGGCCUCCCUUUUUCUACCCCCUCUCCACCGAGCGCUUCAGCCGCACCCCUACCACUUGCCCUCGCCGCCGCUGCCAUUGCCGUUGUGCAGCUCGGACGCGCGCUCGCCCAACCCCCUUUCCCCCGAUGCCCCCGAACUUCCCAACCACGGCCAUCUGAUUUGCGCACCCGGCGGGCGGAUUUGGAACGGAUCCGGCCGGGCUUGAGCUCGCCCGGCUGUAGGAGGCCGCUCCGUGCCAUGGACUGGUCGGGCACCGGGCUGAAAGGCCCCGGCAAGGCCGCAUGCAGGUAGUGACUCCGCCUCUAGCCGCUCGGAUCUACACCAUCGACGGUUUGCCGGCAGAUACACGAACGACCAUCGGCCGGGCCUGUUGCUGGACCAAAAGCUCGUCGGCGCACCGUUGCCACUCAUUAAGUGCGACGACUGCCCAAAGAAGGUCUUGGGCCGUGUGUCUACAACGCCGGAACAUCCCGGAUGGGUGUUCAUCAAGUGCUCAACCAAUGGGGUAUGUGCUACUUAGCUUCGGUUGUGCUUUCGGAUUUGACUAGUUGUGCUAACUUAAAUUUUUCUUGUGUAAAAUGGAUGCAACUUUUGGUAUUGAAAAGAAGAGUACAUCGAUAUAUUGUUAGAGCGCAAUUUAGUAGAUGUUCGUGCACUUUUAGCUAGAAUAGAGGCUAGAGAUGAUACUAGUGCCCUUGUUCCUAGAGUAGAGGCUAAACAUGAGACUAGAUGCAAGGAACCAAUGUCUACUUCUUUACACUCGAAGAAGAAAGAAGCACACAAGAUCGAGCCUCCGUAGAUCAACAAUGAAUGCAUCGAGAAGGCACUAAUCCAACUUACGGGAGCAGUUAUGAAAGUUGGUUAUCUUCUAAAAUAUCUUCUUGUGGUUCUUGUUUUCUUUGGUCUUACUUUUCUAGUCAAAAUUUGGUGAUGUACUUUCAUGUAUCAAAAAUCAAUGAUGAAAAAUAAGAUAUGUGCUUCUAAAGAAAACUGUACGUGGUCAGGAUGCGUCCGCGCAUUGGUCGCACGACCGGCGCAUCCCAGAAAAGGCCCGGACAUGACCCCAUUGUCCUACCCAAACAGGCAAAAUCCGGGCAAAACAGACGUCCAUUUGAGGUCAUGUGCUGGAGUUAGCCUUACAAUUUGCUACGGUCCCUUUCGUAUUCCCUUUUCAUCCUCGUGUUGUCUGCCUCUGCCUUUUGAGUUUUGUGCUCGGGUGACCCCACUCCCGAUCAUUAGUGCAGGUGUGCAGCGUGCAUGCAAAUGCCUUGGGACGGUGAUGCUCAAUUAACCGGCCACUUAGAGCAACUUCAACCGGGCGACCCAAGCUAUCACACAUGUUUGUUUUAGUUGAAACGGACCAAAACACCGGCCCGACACGUGGAACCAAACCCAAAACACAUCCAUUUGGUGUUCUUCUGGACGCAUUUCAGGGCCUGUUUGGUUUGCUUCCAGAGAAAGCUGCCUGACUCAGGCAUGAAUCUCAGGCGUUGGAUUUCCUAAGCCUAAGGCUGAGAUCGCUGCCUGAGAAAAAACAUGCAUGUACGACCUCCAUCCAAAUAAGCCCCAGACCCAUAUUUGUGCCCCUCGAACACGAAAAGCGGACGCGCGUACGCCACGGCCCCACCUGUCGCCGCCCAACCACCGCAUGUGGUCGUAUUAAACGCGGGCACCUACCUCAGGCCCGCCUGGCUGUGGGUGGAAGCUGCGGGUUGCCAUCGUUUUUAAUGCAUGUGCGCGGGGAGGGGGGGUCAUCUACUCCCCUCCACCAUUCCACAUAUAGCCAAGCUUUCCCCCUUGCCGGCGACAGCCAAACCCUAUCUCGCCAUGGAGUUCUUCGGCAAGGGCAAGGGGAAGUUCUGCCCAGCACGAGCUCGUCCUGCAUGCCACUGCCGCUGGCUCCAUGUCACGAUGGGUCGCCACGGGAAAGGGAGCGGUUGUACAUUUUGGUGCACCAGACGCAGUGGCGCUGGCAGUGCCAGCAACCGUUGCCCUAUCCAGAUUUCGACCUACCCCAUGAAUGGCAUCUGGACCCCCACCGCAUCCUGGUGCUGGUGGUGGUCGGCGUGGGCAUCGCGAGCUGCUGACGCCGGAGCAGCCGCGACUCCCUGUGUACGCGCCGGACUCUCCCAACUGGAAGGUCUAGUUCGUGCUCGAGUACAAGGAGGAGCACCGCCGCGGCGUGCAGCUCAACCCCGCCAUCCCACCGCCGCCCCGGGAGGUCAAGCCGGAGAAGGAGGAGGAGGCGGCCUACAAGGCCACGCUGGAGGCGACGAUGCAACGCGCUCUGGAAGAGAGCAGGCGCGACGAGGAGGCGCAGUGGGAGGCCCUCGUGUUGUCAGCGGCCGGCGACUGCAUCAUCCCCCUAUCGCUGCCGCCGGCACUACCCUGAGCCCAAGGUUGAGUAACCACCCACGGAGCCCAAGCCGGAGCGGUACCAGUAGACCGGCCAGCUCUGCGAGUGGGUCCGCGCACCGCCCAUGUGGCUCGGCACGACGACGAAGCAAGAGACAGCGUACAUCCAAUAAUGAAGGGCACGCGCGCUGGCGGAGGAGCGCACCAAGGGCGAGCGAUGGAUGCAGCUGGAAAGUUGCUGGGCAUGGGAGGAGGAGGAAGAGUGCCGGGAGACGGAGGAGGAGGAGGAGCGCACCCGCCGCAGCGCAGAAGGCUGCGUAGGCCUAGGAGGCGGCAUUCCCAUGGGCUGGCCCGAUGCUGGAGUUGAUUGACCCCACUGGCCUCGGGGAGGACGGUGACGCCUAGGGCAGCGCAUGGGGAGACGCAAUUUUUAAAAAAAAUUAUUAAUUUUUAAGUGGACUUUUGCCGACGUUUAAUGUUUAAUUAUGUUAAGUUUGAACUUGGGUGUGUGUGGGUUUUUUAAGUCCGCACACAAAAAAAUUCAUCGGGCUAGCGUUUGGUGCAUGCGCCGAUGAAAACCCACAAGUGUAGGGGAUUGCAUCAAUUUUCGAGGGUGGAGUAUUCAACCCAAAUUUAUAGCAUCAAAUUUAUAGCAGUAACGGUGGCAAAAGUAAUAGUAGCAGUUUUGUAGUAAUCAUAACAAUGGCAAUGAAAAAGUAAUGGAGCAAAGAUCAAUAUGAAACGAGCUCAUAGGCAAUGGAUCAAUGAUGGAUAAUUAUGUCGGAUGGCAUUCAUCAUGCAACAGUUAUAACCUAGGGUGACACAGAACUAGCUCCAAUUCAUCAAUAUAAUGUAGGCAUGUAUUCUGAAUACAGUCAUACGUGCUUAUGGAAAAAAAACUUGCAUGACAUCUUUUGUCCUACCCUCCCGUGGUAGUGGGGUCCUAUUGGAAACUAAGGGAUAUUAAGGCAUCCUUUUAAUAGAGUACCAGACCAAAGCAUUAACACUUAGUGAAUACAUGAACUCCUCAAACUAAGGUCAUCACCAGGAAGUGUCCCGACUAUUGUCACUCCGGGGAUGCCGGAUCAUAACAUGUAGUAGGUGACUAUAACUUGCAAGAUAGGAUCAAGAACACAAAUAUAUUCAUGAAAACAUAAAGGGUUCAGAUGUGAAAUCAUGGCACUCGGGCCCUAGUGACAAGCAUUUGGCAUAGCAAAGUCAUAACAACAUCAAUCUUAGAACAUAGUGGAUACUAGGGAUCAAACCCUAACAAAACUAACUCGAUUACAUGGUAAAUCUCAUCCAACCCAUCACUGUCUAGCAAGCCUACAAUGGGAUUACUCACACACGGCGGUGAGCAUCAUGAAAUUAAUGAUGGAGGAUGGUUGAUGAUGACGACGGCAACGAUUUCCCCUCUCUGGAGCCCAAAAUGGACUCCAGAUCUGCCCUCCCAAGGAAGAACAGGGCUUGGUGGCGGCUCCAUAUCGUAAAAUGCGAUGAAUCAUUCUCUUUGAUUUUUUUCUCCCAACCGUGAAUAUAUGGAGUUGGAGUUGAGGUCGGUGGAGGUCCAGGGGGCCCACAAGGACAGAGGGCGCGCCCAGGGAGGUGGCCGCGCCCUCCACCCUUUGUGGCCAGGGUGUAGGCCCCCUUCAGUUGAUUCUUUUGCCAAUAUUUUUUAUUUAUUCCAAAACUGAUCUCCGUGAAGUUUCAGGUCAUUCCGAGAACUUUUAAUUCUGCACAAAAAUAACACCAUGGCAAUUCUGCUGAAAACAACGUUAAUCCGGAUUAGUUCCAUUCAAAUCAUGCAAAUUAGAGUCCAAAACAAGGGCAAAAGAGUUUGGAAAAGUAGAUACGAUGGAGACGUAUCAACUCCCCCAAGCUUAACCCAUUGCUUGUCUUCAAGCAAUUCAGUUGAUAAACUGAAAGUGAUAAAGAAAAACUUUUACAAACUCUGUUUGAUCUUGUUGUUGCAAAUAUGUAAAGCCAACAUUCAAGUUUUCAGCAAAGAUUAUGAAAUAACCAUAUUCACAAUAACAUUUAGGUCUCAUAUUCACUCAUAUCAAUGGCAUAGUCAACUAGCGAGCAAUAAUAAUAAAUCUCGGGUGACAACACUUUUUCAAAAUAAUCAUGAUAUAAUAUACCAAGAUGGUAUCUCGCUAGCCCUUUCUAAGAUAGCAAAACAUAAAUGCAGAGCACCCCUGAAGAUCAAGGAUUGACUAGACAUUGUAAUUCAUGGUAAAAGAGAUCCAGUCACAGUCAUACUCAAUAUAAAUUAAUAACAAUGCAUACAAAUGACAGUGGUGCUCUCUAACUGGUGCUUUUUAUAAGAGGGGGGUGACUCAGCAAUAAAAGUAAAUAGAUAAGCCCUUCGCAUAAGAAAGCAAGUAUUUACAGAGGUGCCAGAGCUCAAGUUUUUGAAAUAGAGAUAAAUAAUAUUAUGAGCGUUAUGCUUUUAUUGUCAACAUAACAACCAAGAGAUCUCGGUAUCUUCCAUGCUACAUACAUUAUAGGCGGUUUCCAAACAAAAUGGUAAAGUUUAUACUCCCCCACCACCAACAAGCACACUCCACGACUGGUCCGAAACAAUGGGUGCCGUCCAACUAACAACAAUCCCGGGGGAGUUUUGUUUGCAAUAAUUUUGAUUUGAUUUGAGCAUGGGAAUGGGCAUCCCGAUUACUAGCCAUUUUCUCGUGAAUGAUGAGAGGAGUCCACUCAUCAUGAGAAUAACCCACCUACCAUGGAAGAUAUAGACAACCCUAGUUGCUACAUGAGCGAUUCGAGCAUACAAAACAGAUUAUCAUUUGAAGGUUUAGAGUUUGUCACAAGCAAAUUUACUUGGAACGGCAGGUAAAUACCGCAUAUAGGUAGGUAUGGUGGACUCUCAUGGAACAACUUUGGGUUUAUGGAAGUGGGCACAAGCAUUAUUCACGCUUAGUACAAGUGAAGGCUAGAAAAAGACUAGGAAGCGACCAACUAGAGAUCGACAAUAGUCAUAAACAUGCAUUAAGAUUAACCAACAUUGAGUGCAAGCAUGAGUAGGAUAUAAAUCACCAUGAACAUAAAUAUCGUUGAGGCUAUGUUGAUUUUGUUUCAACUACAUGCGUGAACAUGUGCCAAGUCAAGCCACUCGAAUCAUUCAAAGGAGGAUACGAUCCUAUCGUACUACAUCACAACUAUUAUAAAAGCAUGUUCGCACGCUAGGUGAACCAUUAUAAGCUCCUAGCUAAUUAAGCAUGGCAUGACUAACUAUAUUCUCUAAUUGUCAUUGCAAACAUGUUUCAUUCAUAAUAGGCUGAAUCAGGAACGAUGAACUAAUCAUAUUUACAAAAACAAGAUAGGUCGAGUUCAUACCAGCUUCUCCUCAUCUCAAUCAUUUCAUCAUAUAUCAUCAUUAUCGCCUUUCACUUGCACGACCGAAUAGUGUGGACAAUAAUAGUAGUGGACGUGCAUUGGACUAAGCUGGAAUUUGCAAACAUUUAUUCAAGGAGAAGAUAAGGUAAUAUGGGCUCUUUGUUAGAUCAACAAUAAUGCAUAUGAGAGCCACUCAACAUUUUUCAUCGUGGUAUUCUCCUCUCGACUCCCAAAGAAAAUAAAAGAAUUUCAAAGAAACACAUUGAAAUAUUUUUGGAGUUUUUGUUCUUCUGAAGAAAGUAAAACAAGAACGAGAAAAACUAUUUACAUGGGAAAGCUCCCAACAAGCAGAAGAAGAACGAGAAAUCUUUUUUGGGGUUUUCUUUUAAUACUGCUACUAAGCAUGCAUAAAAAGGAAAUACACUGCAACUUUUUUUUUUGCUUUUUUUAAUGUUUAACAAAAACGCAAGAAGAAAGCGGGAAAAAGAAAUAAAUUAACAUGGAUAAUACAAUGAAAAAGUAUGAACACCGACAACUGGAAUGAGUGUGUGAACAUGAAUGUAAUAUCGGUGAGAAAUACGUACUCCCCCAAGCUUAGGCUUUUGGCCUAAGUUGGUCUACGCCCAUGGCUGGCCUGGCGGAUAUCAAAAGUUGCAGUCAGGGUUGUACCGAGUGCAGCAGCUACUGCCUGAAGGGCUGCAGCAUGGAGGCGAGCAACCUCCGUCUCCCUCUCAUACUCGUUUGCCUCCUCUCUGGUUAUAUAAUAUCUCCCUCUGACCUAAAAGUUAAAGAAGGCAGGAGCAGGAAGAGUAACAUGGACGGCGCGCCAUCUGUCAAAGAUUAGUCGGUACUGGAGGAACUGUUCAUUCCUCUCAAGAAACUGAUAGCGCACCAAGGCAUAAUAAUCAAGAAAAGCAGGUGGAAACUCUAUGUCAUUCUCCCUUAUGGGUACUCCAAGAUAAUUAGCUAGACGAGUCGAAUAAAUCCCACAAAUAAAUCUCCAUCUUUAGCAUUAAGAUGAACCUCCUCGCAACAAUGGCCCCCGAGUUAUAUCACUUAUCACCGAACACCGCACAAUGGAGGACACUAAGAUCGGGAACGCAAAGGUGGCAAUGCUCAUGCUUACCGUUAAUGCAUCAGCCUAUAAAGAGAGCAAAGUAAUGUAUGAUAGGAAAGUGAAUGCUCCCUAUGUUAGCUUGUGUGAUAUUUCUAGCUUCUCCCACAGUGAUGCUAACAAGGAAAACAUUGUAUUCAGAUUUGUGAGGUUCACUAAGAAGGCCCCACUGUGGGAUUUUGCAAGCAGUAUUAAAAUCUUCAAGGUUCAUGGUAUAUGAUUCAUCAUAAAGAUUAAAAAAAAAACAGUAUGGGUAUUGCGCUUAGAUGAAAAUUCAAACCUCUGCACAAAGGAAUUGGUGAGGUACUAGUAUUGUUGGCACUUAUCUGGUACGAAGUCCUCAAGAUCAGCAUUACAUACACACACAUCAAAUUCAUCCUUGAAGCCUGCAUGAACCAUAAAUUCAUCUGAUGACCAUUCACAAGGCCGCACUUGAGCUUCCCGUGGUAGUUCAAGGUUCAGCUCACGUAUCGCGAGCCUCGGUGCCUGCUUCCUCGAAGAACCACCUUGGUACAUUUUCCUGGACAUUUUUCUUCCUCUGAAAAAUUUCUGAAUUUUUUAGUGACUCAAAAUAAAAGUGAACCAAACUCAACAAGAUUGGUAGCAACUACUCCUAGAAGUAUCUAGAGGCUAUAUCAUGCAACAAAACUACUUUGGACCAUAUAAAUUUGACAUGCAAGCUCAAGAACAGGUUCACAUCAGCAGCAAAAAUUUGCAAUAAAUAAAGCACUAGAACAAAAACUAAUUGGACCAUUGGAGGAGUCACAUACCGAAGAACAAUCCCCCAAAACAGUUUUGUGAGUGGAGCUUUGAGCAAGGAGAUCGAAAAUGGCAGCAUGAUGAGCAAGAACACGAGUUUGAGCUACGAGAUGAUUUUUUAUGGAGGAAGAUGAAGUGGAUGGGUGCUGGAAUAAGUGGAGGGGGGCCACAUGGGACCCACAAGGUCGGGGGUGCGCCCAAGGGGGUAGGGAGCGCCCUCCACCCUUGUGGCCCACUGGUGCAUCCCCCUGGUGCAUUCUUAGUGCCAAAAAUUCUCAAAUAUUCUAAAAAAAAUCAUACUAAAUUUUCAGGGCAUUUGGAGAAAUUUUAUUUUUGGGACAUUUUUUAUUGCACGGAUAAUUCAGAAACAUACAUAUAUUACUAUUUUUGCUUUAUUUAAUCUAAAUAACAGAAAAUAAAAGAUAGGUACAAAGAGUUGUGGUUUCCAAAUUCAUCCAUCUCAUGCUCAUCAAAAGGAAUCCAUUAACAAGAUUGAUCAAAUCUUAUUAACAAACUUCUUCCGAAUGAUAUGAAACCGGAGAACUUUCGAAUAACACUAGGUUACCUCAAUGGGGAUAUGCAUGUCCCCAACAAUAAGAAUAUCACAUUUCUUUUUGACAGUAGGAAGAGGGAAUUCAAAACCUCCAAUAGUAAUAGUUGGAAUUUUUCCAAUAGAAUUGAUACUAUGAACUUGAGGUUGUUUCUUCGGAAAGUGUAUUGUAUGAUCAUUACCAUUAACAUGAAAAGUGGCAUUGCCUUUGUUGCAAUCAAUAACAGCCCCUGCAAUAUUCAAAAAGGGUCUACCAAGGAUAAUCGACAUAAGAUCGUCCUCGGGAAUAUCAAGAAUAACAAAGUACAUUAAGAUAGUAACGUUUGCAACCACAACAGGCACAUCCUCACAAAUACCAAUGGGUAUAGCAGUUGAUUUAUCAGCCAUUUGCAAAGAAAUUUCAGUAGGUGUCAACUUAUUCAAUUCAAGUCUACGUUAUAAAGAGAAAGGCUAACACUAACACUGGCUCCAAGAUCACAUAAAGCAGUUUUAACAUAGUUUCUUUUAAUAGAGCAUGGUAUAGUUGGUACUCCUGGAUCUCCAAGUUUCUUUGGUAUUCCACCCUUAAAGGUGUGAUUAGCAAGCAUGGUGGGAAUUUCAGCUUCCAGUAUCUUUCUUCUAUUUGUAACGAUAUCUUUCAUAGACUUAGCAUAAGGAGGCAUUUUAAGCAUAUCAGUCAAACGCACACGUAAAAAGAUAGGUCUAAUCAUUUCAGCAAAGCACUCAAAAUCCUCAUCAUCUUGUUUCUUGGAUGUAUUAAGAGGAAAGGGCAUGGGUUUCUGAACCCAUGGUUCUAUUUCUCUACCAUGUUUCCUAGCAAUGAAGUCUCUCUUAUCAUAACGUUGAUUCUUUGAUUGUGGGUUAUCAAGAUCAACAACAGGUUCAAUCUCUACAUCAUUAUCAUUACUAGGUUGAGCAUCAACAUGAGCAUCAUCAUUAACAUUAUCAUUGGGUUCAUGUUCAUCACCAGAUUGUGUCUCAACAUUAGAAAUAGAAAUAUCAUUGGGAUUCUCAAGUGUAUCUAUAACAGGUUCACUAGCAUGCAAAGUCCUAUCAGUUUUCUUUUUUCCUUUUGUUACUAGGACUAGAUGCAUCAGUAUUAGUUCUAUGAGAAUCUUGCUCAACUCUCUUAGGAUGGCCCUCAGGAUACAAAGGUUCCUGGGUCAUCUUACCACUUCUAGUCAUAACCCUAAGAGCAUUAUCAUUGUUCUUACUAUUUAACUCAUUGAGCAAAUCAUCUUGUGCCUUAAGUACUUGCUCUACUUGAGUUGUAACCAUGGAAGCAUGUUUACUAAUAAGCUUAAGAUCAUUAACAGUUCUAUUCAUAUAAUCACUCAAGUGGUCAAGCAUGUAAGCAUUACGUUUCAAUUGUCUACUAACAUAAGCAUUGAAGUUUUCUUGUUUAACAAUAAAAUUAUCAAACUCAUCCAAGCAUUGACUAGCAGACUUAUUAUGAGGAAUAUCACCUUCAUCAAAUCUAAUGAGUGAGUUUACCUCUACUACCUGUGUCGGGUUAUCAAGACCAUUUAUUUCUUCAAUAGGCGGUAGAUUCUUAACAUCUUUAGCUUUAAUACCUUUUUCUUUCAUAGAUUUCCUUGCCUCUUGCAUAUCUUCAGGCGCCUCUUGCAUAUCUUCAGGACUGAGAAAUAGAAUACCCCUUUUCUUCGGAGUUGGCUUAGGAGUUGGUUCAGGAAGUGUCCAAUCAUUAUCAUUACUCAAUAUAUUAUUCAAUAGCAAUUCAGCUUGAUCGACAAUUCUUUCCCUGAAAACACAACCAUCACAACUGUUCAGGUGGUCUCUAGAGGCAUCGGUUAGUCCAUUAUAAAAGAUAUCAAGUAUUUCAUUUUUCUUGAGAGGAUGAUCAGGCAAAGCAUUAAGUAAUUGGAGAAGCCUCCCCCAAGCUUGUGGGAGACUCUCUUCUUCAAUUUGCACAAAGUUAAAUAUUUCCCUUAAGGCAACUUGUUUCUUGCGAGCGGGGAAAUAUUUCUGAGAGAAGUAAUAAAUCAUAUCCUGGGGACUACGCACACAACCAGGAGCAAGAGAAUUAAACCAUAACUUAGCAUCACCCUUUAAUGAGAAAGGAAGCAAUUUUAGAAUAUAAUAAUAACGAAUUUUUCCUCAUGAGCAAAUAGGGUGGCUAGAUCAUUCAAUGUAGUAAGAUGUGCCGCAACAGUUUCAGAUUCAUAACCAUAGAAAGGAUCAGAUUCAAACAAAGUAAUUAACUCAAGAUCGACAGAGAAUUCACAAUCCUUAUCAGUAAUUAAGAAAGAUAGGUGAAGUAGCAAACAUAGGUCAUAUUGCAUUCUAGCAUUCAAAGAUUUUUCUUUUAGCUUAGCUAAUAGUUUCUUAAGAUCAUCUCUAUCAUUGCAAGCAAAUAAGUCUCUAGCAGUUUCUUCAUCCAUAAUAUAACCCUCGGGUACAAUAGGAAAUUCAUAUCUAGGGGGAGAGUCAUAAUCUUCAAUUUCAAUAAUAUCAUCAGUUUCAGUAAUUUCAUUCUCUCUAACCCUAGCAAGUUGUUCAUCAAGAAAUUCACCUGGUGGCACAGUAUUAUCAAGCAGAGAAGUAGUUUCAUCAUAAGCAUCAUGCAUAGCAGAAGUGGCAUCAUCAAUAACAUGCGACAUAUCAGAAUCAAUAAUAGGUGUAGGUGUCGCAAGUUUACUCAAAACAGAAGGAGAAUCAAGUGCAGAGCUAGAUGGCAGUUCCUUACCUCCCUCGUAGUAGAGGGAAAAAUCUUGGUUCUUUGAUCUUUCAAAUUCUUCAUAGUGAUCAACAGAUAUAAAUCCCAAGUGACUCGGAGAAUAGAGCUAUGCUCCCCGGCAAUGGCACCAGAAAAAGUUCUUGAUAACCCACAAGUAUAGGGGAUCACAACCGUUUUCGAGGGUAGAGUAUUCAACCCAAAUUUAUUGAUUCGACACAAGGGGAGCCAAACAAUAUUCUCAAGUAUUAGCAGCUGAGUUGUCAAUUCAAUCACACCUGAAAGACUUAAUAUCUGCAGCAAAAUAUUUAGUAGCAAAGUAGUAUGGAAGUAGCGGUAACGGUGGCAAAAGUAACAGUAGCAGUUUUGUAGUAAUCGUAACAUUGGCAACGGAAAAUUAACAGAGCAAAGAUCAAUAUGACACGAGCUCAUAGGCAAUGGAUCAAUGAUGGAUAAUUAUGUCGGUUGGCAUUCAUCAUGCAACGGUUAUAACCUAGGGUGACACAGAACGCUCCAAUUCAUCAAUAUAAAGUAGGCAUGCAUUCCGAAUAUAGUCAUACAUGCUUAUGGAAAAGAACUUGCAUGAUAUAUUUUGUCCUACCCUCCUGUGGCAACGGGGUCCUAUUGGAAACUAAGGGAUAUUAAGGCCUCCUUUUAAUAGAGUACCGGACCAAAGUAUUAACACUUAGUGAAUACAUGAACUCUUGAAACUACGGUCAUCACCAGGAAGUGUCCCGACUAUUUCCACUCCGGGGUUGCCGGAUCAUAACACAUAGUAGGUGACUAUAACUUGCAAGAUAGGAUCAAGAACACAAAUAUAUUCAUGAAAACAUAAAGGGUUCAGAGCUGAAAUCAUGGCACUAAGGCCCUAGUGACAAGCAUUAGGCAUAGAAAAGUCAUAGCAACAUCAAUCUUAGAACAUAGUGGAUACUAGGGAUCAAACCCUAACAAAACUAACUCGAUUACAUGGUAAAUCUCAUCCAACCCAUCACUGUCCAGCAAGCCUACGAUGGGAUUACUCACACACGGUGGUGAGCAUCAUGAAAUUGGUGAUGGAGGAUGGUUGAUGAUGAUGACGGCGAAGAUUUCCCCUCUCUGAAUCCCAAAACAGACUCUAGAUCUGCCCUCCCAAGGAAGAACAGGGCUUGGCGGCGGCUCCGUAUCAUAAAACACAAUGAAUCCUUCUCUCUGAUUUUUUUUCUCCCCGACCAUGAAUAUAUGGAGUUGGAGUUGUGGUCGGUGGAGGUCCAGGGGGCCUGAUAACCUACAAGUAUAGGGUAUCGCAAUAGUUAUCGAGGGUAGGGUAUUCAACUCAAAUUUAUAGGUUCGACACAAGGGGAGCCAAAGAAUAUUUGUAAGUAUUAGCAGCUGAGUUGUCAAUUCAACCACACCUGGAGAUUAAUUAUCUGCAGCAAAGUGAUCAGUAGCAAAGUAGUAUGAUAGUUUUGAUAAUAGUAGCAGUAGCAAUAGUAACGGUAACAGUGAUAGCAGUGAUUUUGUAGCAAGUGCAAUAGUAAUAGCAGCAGUAGUAACUUAGCAAGAUCAAUAUGUAGGAAAAUUGUAGGCAUUGGAUCAGUGAUUUGUUGGAUCAUAUUCAACAUGUGACAGUCAUAAUCUAGGGCGAUACAGCACUAGCUCCAGUUCAUGAAUAUAAUGUAGGCAUGUAUUCCGUAAAUAUUCAUACAUGCUUAUGGAAAGAACUUGCAUGCCAUCUUUUGUCCUACCCUCCCAUGGCAGCGGGGUACUAUUGGAAACUAAGGGAUAUUAAGGCCUCCUUUUAAUAGAGAACCAGGACAAAGCAUUAACACACGGCGAAUACAUGAACUCCUCAAACUACGGUCAUCACCGGGAGUGGUCCCGACUAUUGUCACUCCGGGGUUGCUGGAUCAUAACACGUAGUAGGUGACCAUAACUUGCAAGAUCAGAUUUAAAACAUGGAUAUAAUGGUGAUAGCAUAAACGGUUCAGAUCUGAAAUCAUGGCACCCGGGCCCAAAGUGACAAGCAUUAAGCAUGGCAAAGUCAUAGCAACAUCAAUCUCAGAACAUAGUGGCUACUAGGGAUCAAGCCCUAACAAAACUAACUCGAUUACAUGAUGAAUCUCAUCCAACUCCCCACCAACCAGUGAACCUACGAAGGAAUUACUCACUCCCAGUGGGGAGCAUCAUGAAAUUGGUAAUGAUGAAGAUCGAAGAUCUCCCUCUCCGGAGUUCCAAACGGACUCUAGAUCUGGCUUCCCGAUGAAGAACAGGAGACGACGGCGGCUCUGUCUCGUGGAACACAAUAAUUCUCUCCUUGUUUUUUUGAAAAAAUAGGAUUUUAUAGCGUCGGUUUUAGGAUCUGUGGGGCCACCAGGUGGGGACAACCCACCUGGGCGCGCAUGGAGGGGGUGGCGCGCCCUAGUGGGUUGUGCCCACCCAGGUGCCCCCCUCCUGUGGUUCUUGGCUCCAGAAAUUCUCUUUUAUUGUAUAAAAAAUCCUUGCAAUGUUUCCUUCCAUUCCGAGAAUGUUUAUUUCUGCACAAAAAACAACACCAUGGUAGUUAUGCUGAAAAGAGCGUCAGUCCGGGUAAGUUUCAUUCAAAUCAUGCAAAUUAGAGUCCAAAACAAGAGGAAAAGUGUUAGGAAAAUUAGAUACGACGGAGACGUAUUCUGGCCCACAAGGACAGAGUGCGCGCCUUAGGGGGUGGCCGCACCCUCCACCCUUGUGGUCAGGGUGUGGGCCCCUUUGGUUGAUUCUUUCGCCAAUAUUUUUAUUUAUUCCAAAACUGAUCUCCGUGAAGUUUCAUGUCAUUCUGCGAACUUUUAAUUCUGCACAAAAAUAACACCAUGGCAAUUCUGCUGAAAACACCGUCAGUCCGGGUUAGUUCCAUUCAAAUCAUGCAAAUUCGAGUCCAAAACAAGGGCAAAAGAGUUUGGAAAGUAGAUACGAUGGAGGCAUAUUAGCCGACCCAAAUGACAAAGUGGACUGAUAACCCACAAGUAUAGGGGAUCUUAAAAGUUUUCGAGGGUAGAGUAUUCAACCCAAAUUUAUAGAUUUGGCACAAGGGGAGCCAAAGAAUAUUUGUAAGUAUUAGCAGCUGAGUUGUCAAUUCAACCACACCUGGAGAUUAAUUAUCCACAAAAAAGUGAUCAGUAGCACAGUAAUAUCAUAGCUUUGAUAGUAGCGGUAGCAGCAACAUUAACUGUAACAGUGAUAGUAAUAGUUUUGUAGCAGUGACAAUAGUAACAACAGUUGUAGUAACUUAGCAAGAAUAACAUGUAGGAAAAUCAUAGGCAUUGGAUCGGCAAUUUGUUGGAUGAUAUUCAUCAUGUAAUAGUCAAAACCUAGGGCGAUAUGGCACUAGCUCCAGUUCAUAAAUAUAAUGUAGGCAUGUAUUCCAUAAAUAGUCAUGCGUGCUUAUGGAAAGAACUUGCAUGACAUCUCUUGUCCUACCCUCUAUCGGUUCUAUAUCCGACAUAUCUUGUAGUAGGGGUCCUAAGCAAGGUGUCUUUGAGCGAUGGUAACGUGGACACAUGAUUUUACCCAGGUUCGGGCUCUCUCGAAGAGAUAAUACCCUACGUCCUGCUUUUGAUUGUAUUGAUAUAGGUGUAGUACAGAGUACAUAUAGCUACCACGAGAUAGUUCUAAUGAAUAUUAGAUACCUAUUGACUAGCCUGGCCUCGGUUUAUAUAACACACCAGAGGCCUAGGGUUUAGGAGAGUCCUUGGCUUGAGCACCAAGUCUUGUGGAGUCUUCCUUGUAUGCGGCAUGGGCUGCCUAAAGUGGACAAUUAGUGGAUCGCCAUGGGGGUCCUCGGCCCGAUCCAGCUGGCCGGGAGACGACGUGGUGAGUACCCCCUAGUCCAGGACACCGUCAGUAGCCUCCUGAAUCGGUCUUCAAGUUGGGGGCGCUCAUUGAUUCUUCCGAACUGUUCUUCAUCUUUGGUCGUCAGUCUUGAAAACUGGUUGACAAAUCUUCUCAUCUUCAAUCUUGAGGAUUGCCGAAGUGAAUCCGAAGAGUUUACACGUUGGGUAUCCGAGGAGCCCCUUUAAGUUCUCGGCCUUUAUCAGUGCCUUGUUAUUUUUUACGCCACACCUCGGGUUUGAAGUUGUUCCCGUGCGGCGGUGUCCUCUUGCAUCCGAGCUCCAACACCGGACUGCAUUCGAGGUAUCUUUUGCAGCCGAGCACCAACGUCGGACUGUAUCCGAGCUCCAACACCGGACUAUAUCUGAGGUGUCAUAGAUCACCUUGGCUUGAAAAAGUUUAAAGGAGGUUAUCCGAGCUUAAUGCUCAAAAGUUCUCUAUGGAGCCAACCACUUGCUGUCGAGCUUUAUGUCGGUCUGCUUCCAAGGUGAUGCACCACCUCAGGCUUGGGUUGAUUGUUUGCGGAUUUUAUUUCUGAUUGAUGCAAUUUAUUUACUGACGAGAUAUAUAGUUAGUAGCCCUCAAGGUGUGUGUGUCGGCCUAAAACCCGAGAUGCACAUUAGAGGAGGUAGUGAUCGGCGGACGGACCCUUGAGAGAGGGUUUUGAGAAGUCGCCGCAAUAUAUUAGCUUGAUGCCGGAUAAGUCCCAGAUGGUACCUAUUGUUGUCGAAAGACGCGUUUGCCCAUAGUUCGGUCAAGCCGAACACUGAGCACUUUGAAUUUUUUGCAUUAAAUAGGCAAUGCAGUAGCCCCCGAGACACUGGUCGGGUGGCAACACCAGAUCAGGGGAUCGAUGUGCCCCUUUAAUAUUAGUAAAUGAUAAGCCCGAAGCCCAGUAGCCCCCGAGCCUUAAUGUGGGCACGAGUGGCCGAAUUAAGGAUCGAUAUCCGGAGUAAAAUCACAAAUUAUGUGUAAUGAUUCUAUGUAUCCAAGUACUUUACAUCAUUAAUGCUUGGAUCCACACUGUACAAAACUUUGUUGACCGACCAUCAGCUUCAACCUCCUUGGCCAGUAGUCGGGGAGUGUUUGUCCUACUUUAUAAAGCAUUUAUGAGGGCAAAGAUUUAUGGCAAACAAGGCAACCCGGCCAUACGGUUUUAUAAACAAAGGUAUGCAGAGAGAAUGUUAUAUUACUAUUUAAUGUAAGAAACAUCUUCCAAAGAAAAUAGUCCCGCUAUCGAUUCCUUUCUUUGGGUUGUCAUGCCGACCAUGAUCAUGAAACCUCACCUCCGAUCAAUGCGGGAGAAAAAUAUUGAUGAUUUAGUUUGGGGAAAGUUCCCGAACUAUGUGGUCUUUAGCGAACCUAAAUUUUCACUUUCGUCGUUGCCGACCAAUUAUAUUCUUAAGAUAGCUAGCUUCGACUUCACCCAGUCUGAGGUACUAAUCCGGAGGACCCGGUAGUGACAAUCACAGAGGUGCUCCCUUUACCGCCUAGCCGAACAAUCGGGGACGUAGGGGUAAUCACAGGAGCCAGGCAACCCAUCUUGGCCAAAAUCUUAAGUCAAAUUUGAUGCAUAUUUAUGGCUUUAUAACGAUGAUUACGGAAGGCAGCACUUGUAUACUGAAAACAAAUGUUGAUGAUAUGUUUAUUUUGACUUCGUUGCGACUGUUUAUCAGUUGAAAGUGGCCCAUCGUCGGCUUCCACCCCCUUGUAGAUGCUAUGCAGGGUGUUUCUGCAAUAACAAAACAACCCUUAGCCGACGUCUCGGUGCCCGAAGCCGGUUGUGUUAGCGGAAACGAGGCAAUCAGAUAUGCGGGAUUUAUAACUUUCACUUAGUCAUAGGAGCUUAAAGUUGGGAGGCCAGUUACUAGCCCCCGAUUAGUGUUCAGCGACAGCUUAGGUCAAGCCGUAAACAUUUCGGCCAAUGUUAUGAACGGCUCGUAUUUUAACACGGGGUGACCUCUAUCGAUCUUAUAGUUUAACACAGCCAUCGGAUCGUUGACCAGUUUGCGCUUAUUGUGACAGUCAGUUUUCGGCUUUCUCCACUGAGGCACUUAACCAUGCGAGCUGGAAGCACAAUCGCAGUGGUUCUGGCUUCGCACACCUAGCUGAACAAAGUGGAACGUAGGAGGCAAGCACAGGAGCCAGGCAACCCAACUAUUGGCCGAAGACACAAUUCGAAACCGAUGCAUAUACAGCAAUGUCCGAGAACGCUAUGCCGAGGACUCCAUGGGGUACCUUGGUUUUGGUGGGUUCGGCUGUAGUCUCAGCCCCCCGUUAAUAUUGCCAAUGCUUUAAAGGCGUCUGGCAUUGUAUUGCUCAGGAACUAGUCCUGAUGUGGCGUGUAUUUUGUCAACACCGAGGUGCAGUCCGGCGGGAAAGAUGUCGAGCUGUGGGUCAAAAAAGAUCUCCUGAGUUGAAUUAGAAUGCAGGGAACCUCGGUUAUGAGGAUGUCCCGCUUGCUGAAAGAAAAACAUACAAAUAGCUAAAAAAAGUGCCAUAAGCUCGAAAAGCCAAAAAAACGUAUGUAAAAGCUUGACGUCCGAACUAAAUCAAGUCAUUUGGUGCCAAUCCAAAAAUUGGUCUUAAAUUUUUUGUGCUUUUGUCAUGCAUUAAUAUGACAUAUCCAAUCUCAAGACUUCAAGCGGGUCAGCCUGCUUCAACCUCCUUAUCCUGAAGGCGGAGUGCUUCUCCGAGGCUAGUUUGGCGAACUAAACUCGAGCGGAUUUAGAGAGAAGCAAGGCUAUCCGGCUAUUGACCAUACACUCGAGUCGAAAAAGGAGUGGUAGAAAAAGACUUUGCAACGACCAAGAAGAAAACACAUUUACUAUAAAACGGCUCAUAUAGAAUUUUAAGAGCCCCAAGUUAACAUGGGGAAAGGGAGUUUCUUUUAACAAACAACAUAUGUGAGCAUGGUCGAACUGAACACAAAUUAAAAAUUUAAAACUUUGAGCAUGAAAGCGACUUAGCUGGUUAAUGUGUUUGGCAUUGACGACGUGGUCCGAGCUUGAUGUGGGACAAGGCUCCAGCCCCCAGGCUAGUCCCGAGGUGGCGAAGCGAAGAGCUCGACACUCCGAAGUGGCGAAAUAUCAUGGCCAAUGUGGCGAGGUGGAACCCCCAGUCCGACCGAGGCGACGGAGCAGGACGAAGGUAUGAUGUCGAAGUCCCCGGCGUGAGUUAAUGAAGUGAUGAUGAAGCCCCCGGUCUAGCCGAGGUGACAUGGUACGUCGGUACGCCGAGUGACAGCGUUGCCCAACCCGGAUCAUUUACCUAUGCACAAAAAAUAGUGCAAGCCGGAGAUAAUAGUAAUAAUAAUAAAUUAAAAAAAAUCAUAGCAUAAUAAAUAAUUUAUGCAAAGUGAGCAAUAAAACAAAUAUGGCCCAUGUGUCGAACACUCGAUGAGGUAGAGCUCUCUCAGCGAUGCCAAAGUCCCCAAGGCAACCGAACACGUUGGUAUGGCAAUUCGACCAACAAGGUGAUCACGCGAGCCGAUUUACACCUAUUGGGACGACGACAUCGGCUUGCCGAAGUGACCGCGUGACGCGGUCGAAUUCGAUUACUGGUACGUCUCCAACGUAUCUAUAAUUUAUGAAGCAUUCAUGCUAUAUUACUAUGUGUUCUGAAUGAUUAUGGGCUUUAUUAUGCACUUUUAUAUUACUUUUGGGACUAACCUAUUAACCGGAGGCCCAUCCCAUAUUGAUGUUUUACUGCCUAUUUCAGUAUUUCGAAGAAAAGGAAUAUCAAAUGGAGUCCAAACGGAAUGAAACCUUCGGCAACGUGUUUUUUGGAAGAUUAUCAUCCUGGAGGCUUGGAGAUCAAGUCAGAAGAUCCUUGAGGAGCCCAGGAGAUAGUCCCCCCCUAUAGGGCGCGACCCCCUGUCUCGUGGGCCCCUACCGACUUCUUUCGCCUAUAUAAGCCUAUGUACCCUAAAACCAUCGAAUAUCAAGAUAGAUCAGAAGUUCCACCGCCGCAAGCCUCUUAGCCACCAAAAACCUCUCGGGAGCCUGUUCCGACACCCUGCCGGAGGGGGGAUCCUUCACCGGUGGCCAUCUUCAUCAUCCCGGCGCUAUCCAUGACGAGGAGGGAGUAGUUCACCCCCGAGGCUAAGGGUAUGUACCAGUAGCUAUGUGUUUGAUCUCUCUCUCUCUCUCGUGUUCUCUCUCGUGUUCCCUCUAUGGCACGAUCUUGAUGUAUCCCGAGCUUUGCUAUUGUAGUUGGAUCUUAUGAUGUUUCUCCCCCUCUACUCUCUUGUGAUGAAUUGAGUUUCCCCUUUGAAGUUAUCUUAUCGGAUUGAGUCUUUAUUUGAGAACACUUGAUGUAUGUCUUGCCGUGCUUAUCUGUGGUGACAAUGGGAUAUCAUGAGCCUCUUGAUGUAUGUUUUGGUGACCAACUUGCGGGUUCCACCCAUGAACCUAUGCAUAGGGGUUGGCACACGUUCUUGACUCUCCGGUAGAAACUUUGGGGCACUCUUUGAAGUACUUUGUGUUGGUUGGAUGAAUCGGAGAUUGUGUGAUGCAUAUCGUAUAAUCAUGCCCACGGAUACUUGAGGUGACAAUGGAGUAUCUAGGUGACAUUAGGGUUUUGGUUGAUUUGUGUCUUAAGGUGUUAUUCUAGUACAAACUCUUUAAUAGAUCGAUCCGAAAGAAUAACUUUGAGGUGGUUUCGUACCCUACCAUAAUCUCUAUGUUUGUUCUCCGCUAUUAGUGGCUUUGGAGUGACUCUUUGUUGCAUGUUGAGGGAUUGCUAUAUGAUCUAUCUAUGUUAUUAUUGUUGAGAGAACUUGCACUAGUGAAAGUAUGAACCCUAGGCCUUGUUUCCUAUCAUUGCAAUACCAUUUACGCUCACUUUUAUCGCUCGCUACCUUGCUGUUUUUAUUAUUUCAUAUUACAAAUACCUUUAUCUACUAUCUAUUUUGCACUUGUAUCACCAUCUCUUUGCCGAACUAGUGCACCUAUACAAUCUACCAUUGUAUUGGGUGUGUUGGGGACACAAGAGACUCUUUGUUAUUUGGUUGCAGGGUUAUUUGAGAGAGACCAUCUUCAUCCUACGCCUCCUACGGAUUGGUAAACCUUAGGUCAUCCACUUGAGGGAAAUUUGCUACUGUCCUACAAACCUGUGCACUUGCAGGCCAAACAACGUCUACAAGAAGAAGGUUGUGUAGUAGACAUCAAUUACCAACACAUGUAAAAUAGUGCAGUCCAAAAAAUAAUAACAUAAAUAUAUAUAAAAACUCGCAUAAUUCAUGUAUGAAUUUUUUUUAAAGAGAUGUGGCCUGGCGUCGAAGCCAAUAUCGGUGCAAGGCGCCAGCAUGACAAAGCCUGCAUUCACAGGGCGGUCCGAGUUCCUGAUGAGGUGUUCGCCGAACUGCAGACAGGAAAUUGACUGAACCAUCACGCAACCAUCAUUAAUGCGGCCAUCAUUUGACAGACCUGUGUACAGAUGAUGGAACAAAUGAGAGUAAUAAUUCCUUGGAAAAAAUAAACCCAAGCAAGAAAAAUAAUAGGAUUAAUAGCACCUAGUUUAUCUAUUGUAGCAAUCUGAAAAAAGGUUACUCCCAAAAUUGGGACUCGAUCUACACACCCAUUGCCUGAUGGGUGAUGAAGCGAUGGCAUGGUGAUGCUGGCAAAGGUUGGCUCGCCGAGGCAAAGCCCCUGGUCCAGCUAACGUGAUGAAGCUGGUCGGCUGGUGACGCCGAAGUCUCCGGAGUAGGUUGAUGAAGAGAUGGCAGAGCCCCUGGUCCAGCCGAGGUGUUGAAGCCUCCGUGUCAGCCGAUGAUUCGAUGUAGGUCGGAGUGUAGGAUGUUGGCUUGAAGAAGAGGCGGCACGCCAAUGCCGGCGCAGGUCAUAAUGUGACGCACUCAAUGCUGGGUUGAUGAAGUGACCGUGCAGUGAUGCCGAUGCGCCCGAUCCGUUUAAUCCGUGGGGCAAAGAUGCUGGUGAUGAUUUAGCCUUUGUGAUGCCGAAUGUAUGUUCGGCUUGCCGAGCUGAUGAUCCGAUGAGGUUGAGCUCGGCUCGAUGAAGCGACAACCCGUCUAGCGCAGGUCGGCAGCCGUAUAGCAACGUUGUCGGGCUGGUUUGACACCGGCGCGAUGGUGAAGAUUACCUUCGAAGAGGGGCAAAAUUUGUGAGCAUUUGUAUGGAAACAAAACACAAUACCCUAGAAAGAGAUUCCUCCAAAAAGGUUGUCCAAUAUCCCGUUCAUGAAGAAAGAUGAAUUCGGGUCGGAUUUGUAUUCAGGCAGGAAACAGAUCGGAAAAUUGGUCCACUCAUCGGAAGGUUCUCAAGGUUUGAACGAUCGGAUCGAGUUGAAAUUUUGAGAGGUGGUAGAUAGGGAAAUUCCGCAGAUGAUGAACGGUUGGAUCUUCCAAAUGACCUCCAGGCUAGGCUCUGGAGACCACGCCCUAAACUCGUCCAGAUUCCCAUCCAGACUCGACACGCCUCCAGUAUAUCAUAGAUCGCCGAAGAUUCCUCCAUCGGAAUGCGAUGAAAUUUUACAGAGUUAUUGUACACUCAAUUCCGCACAAUUCCACCAAAGCAAUCAUCAAAAAGAUGCUCUAGGGGGCGGUGGCGGCGGACACAGGUUUUCUGUCCAGAAAAACAACACGGUCGGCCAAGGGCAAUGUUGACGUUGAGCCCCCGAGCUCCAUCGAUGAUUCCUCCAUGAUCUUGAUAGAGAUCAGAGUUGAUAAUGAAGGCCCUCGUCUAAACAUAAUGAUCAGAGAUGGAGCACAGUCGUUGGUCGAGCCAAGGUGACUAAUCGAGCCGGCGACGAAGAUGUCGACCUCGACAUUAAAGCUCGAUUCUGACGCGUAGAUCGCGUUGGAGACGAUCUAAAUUCCCAUCACACCAUGGCAAUUGCCAGCAGGCUCUCAAUGAAAGCACCAAUGUCGGUUUUAUAUUCGACAUAUCUCGUAGUAGGGGUCCUAAGCUAGGCGUCUUGGAGCAAUGGUAACAUGGACACAUGAUUUUACCCAGGUUCGGGCUCUCUCGAAGAGAUAAUACCCUACAUCCUACUUUUGAUUGUAUCGAUAUAGGUGUAGUACAGAGUACAUAUAUCUACCACAAGAUAGUUUAAUGAAUAUUAGAUACCCUAUUGACUAGCUUGGCCUCGGUUUAUAUAACACAUCGAAGGCCUAGGGUUAAGGAGAGUCCUUGGCUUGAACGCCAAGUCUUGUGGAGUCUUCCUUGUGUGCGGCAUGGGCUGCCUAAAGUGGCCCAUUAGUGGAUCGCCAUGGGGGUCCUCGGCCCGAUCCAGCUGGUCGGGAGAUGACGUGGUGAGUACCUCCUAGUCCAGGACACCGUCACCCUCCCGUGGCAGCGGGGUCCUAUUGGAAACUAAGGGAUAUUAAGGCCUCCUUUUAAUAGAGAACCGGAACAAAGCAUUAACACAUGAUGAAUACAUGAACUCCUCAAACUACAGUCAUCACUGGGAAGUGUCCCGACUAUUGUCACUUCGGGGUUGCCGGAUCAUAACACGUAGUAGGUGACUAUAACUUGCCAGAUCGGAUCUAGAACAUAGAUAUAAUGGUGAUAACAUAAAUGGUUCAGAUCUGAAAUCAUGGCACACGGGCCCAAAGUGACAAGCAUUAAGCAUGGCAAAGUCAUAGCAACAUCAAUCUCAGAACACAAUGGAUACUAGGGAUCAAGCCCUAAUAAAACUAGGGACAAUUGCAUUUUUACCCCUAGUUGGUUCCUACCCACGGGUUUUGCCCUUACUUUUCGAGCUUGCUCAGUUUUGCCCUUACUUUUUCCAUCGAGGUCCCUCGAAUGCCCUUUGACCGUUUGGCUAAAACUUUGAAAAUUCAUAAAUAAUUCAUACGAACUCAGAAAAAUGCAAAUAAGAUAUCAAAAUGUUCAGAUAAACAUUACCUUUAUGGGCAUAUCAUUUGCAUUCAGGACAAAAGCAUCGUUUAAACUAACCGAGGUAAUUAAUGUUACUAACAUUAUUAAAAAUAAAUAGGUAUAAACAAUAUUUUUUCCAUGAAUAAAAAUUAUAUGCAAAUGUAGGUGAUGUUUUCUGAACAUCCCAAUACCUUAUUUGCAUUUUCCUGAGUUCGUAUCAACUUGUUAUGAAGUUUCCAAAUAAUGGUCAAAGUCGUUAGAACAUUCAUAACAAGUUAAUACAAACUCAGAAAAAUGCAAAUAAGUUAUCAAGAUGUUCAGAAAACAUCACCUACAUUUGCAUGUAAUUUUUAUUCAUGGAAAAAAUAUUGUUUAUACCUAUUUAUUUUUAAUAAUGUUAAUAACAUUAAUUACCUUGGAUAGUUUAAACGAUGCUUUUGUCCCGAAUGCAAAUGAUAUGCCCAUAAAGGUAAUGUUUAUCUGAACAUUUUGAUAUCUUAUUUGCAUUUUUCUGAGUUCGUAUGAAUUAGUUAUGAAUUUUCAAAGUUUUGGUCAAAUAGUCAAAGGGCAUUCGAGGGACCUCGGUGGAAAAAGUAAGGGCAAAACUGAGCAAGCUCGAAAAGUAAGGGUAAAACCCGUGGGUAGGAACUAACUAGGGGUAAAAAUGCAAUUGUCCCAUAAAACUAACUCGAUACAUGAUGAAUCUCAUCCAACUCCUCACUGACCAGCGAGGCUAUGAAGGAAUUACUCACUCCUAGUGGGGAGCAUCAUGGAAUUGGCGAUGGAGAAGGGUUGGUGAUGAUGAAGACCCCCCUCUGCGGAGCCCCAAACGAACUCCAGAUCUGGACUCCCAAUGAAGAACAUGAGGCGGUGGCGGCUCCGUCUCAUGAAAUGCGGUAAUUCUUUCUCCCUAUUUUUUCUAGAAAAAUAGGAUUUUAUAGCGUCGGUUUUAGGGUCUGCGGGGCCACCAGAUGGGGACAACCCACCUGGGCACAACUAGAGGGGGUGGCGCGCCCUGGUGGGUUGUUCCCACCCAGGUGCCCCCCUCCUGUGGUACUUGGCUCCAGAAAUUAUCUUUAUUCGUAUAAAAAUUCCUUGCAAAGUUUCGCUCCGAUCCGAGAUCUUUUAUUUUUGCACAAAAACAACACCAUGGUAGUUCUGCUGAAAACAACGUCUGUCUGGGUUAGUUUCAUUCAAAUCAUGCAGAUUGGAGUCCAAAACAAGAGUACAAUCAUUAGGAAAAGUAGAUAUGACAGAGACGUAUCACGGACACAGUCAUCGUUCGGCUGACCCAAACGAAUAAAAAACGGACAAAACACGUGUCCAUUUGGGUCGGCGCAUUGGAGUUACUCUUAGCACAGCAAUGUGCGAAGGACACACAACCUAGUUUUGCGGUUACAAGAUUUAGAAAAUGAUUUAAAUAUGUACAGCCACAUAACGAUUGUCAAAGGUUCUACGAGUUUAGCUACCACAUAUUUUGCCGGUUUGCUGCGAGGCGAGAGGGACGUGGAUCUUCCUGGUUCUACAUAAAAGUGUUAUUAUGGCAUUUUUUACUGCGUCUCUCAAAUGUCCGCAAAUGUUUGGAUCGUGGCAUCUCCAAUGUGGUACCACAAACACUGUGGACACGUCCGUGUGUUUGAAUUCCUGCAAACCAGACAGAAACUACAAAGAGGUGUGCGGGCGUCCAGAUCUUCACCACGUAUGGCUCCAACAUCCUUGCCCCACUCAAAUCCCCUCUCCCGCACCAUUUUUCUCCAACUCUCCCUUGCUCUAUAUUUGCCCCCUCUUAGUCUGAUGCCACCAUCGUACCACUCCAGCUACUGCCCAGGCCUUGUCGGACGUCAGCCGACCCACCCACGUGUUAGCCGGCCUUGUACUACACUCUCGUCCAUCCCAGAUUCGUCCAGAGCCAGGUAUCCUCCGCCCUCUGCCAGACAACAUUAAAUAAAGUCUCACACUGCCGUAGCUAACCGUUAGGCAAUGGAGAAGCCUUACAAUCUAUAUUAGUGCGAGGAGUAGGGAUUACCAUGCAAUGGAUGCACUAUACCUGUAAGUGUACGAAAACUCUUCAUAUGAACUAAGUGGGUGUGCAUCCAACUUGCUUGCUCACAUGCUCAAAUAUUUGAGGAAGCUCACCAUUCGAAUAUUCAAGUCAAGUUUUAUAAUGUAAAAGAUCCCACUAGUAUGAAAAUGAAAAAAUUUAUGAAAACACUAUACAUGAAGUACAUGGUGCUAUUCUAAAGCAAAAUUGUGUAUAAAGGAUAGUAUGUUAGAAAUAUGCCCUAGAGGCAAUAAUAGUUUAUAUUCUAUGAUGUAACUACUAUAUGGUCCUGGAAUAUGUGAUUUAGUGGAAAACUCAUAUGCACGUGUGGAAUGAUAAACGGUUAAAUAGAAGGUUCCUAGUCUUGCCUCUGGGACUAGCUGUGUUGUUGGUGAUCACAUUUUCUGGAUCUUAGGAUAUCGUUGAGAGUAAUGAUAGUCCUAAAACAACACUGAGAUUAUGACAUUAGAUGAAUGGUGAUAUUGAAUCGACCCAAUCUUGUAUGUCAUGAAUUGAGUUAAUAUCCUCUAUAAUCUAUUGUAAUGACACAUACUGUUAACGUGUGAUUUUUCUCCUUAGACCAUGAGGGUAUUGUGGUCACUUCUUACCGUACGGUGGGCUUUGGGGUUGCUCGAACGUCACAUGUAACCUGGUGAUCAUAACAACAACUUAUAGGCACACCGAAAAGUUUGACAAGUGGCCAGAUAGUUCAAGAGUGGGAUUUGCUCCUCCGAUGACGGAGACAUAUUCUUAGGGCCCUCUCGGUGUGGCGACGUCCAUCAUCAUAUGGCCAGACACGGGUGACUUCGUCACAGAGAUGCCGGAACACAAUAGCGAGAAAAAGAACAAAACUGGUAACGCGGAUUUUGGUAUAGUGACCACAAUGAAGACUCGGGAGGAUAUCGAUGCAUCCCAGGUUUUAUGAAGUAUCUCAAAGCAAAGGGAAUAUCACAACAUAACAAUAGGUUCACUCGAAUAUCAUUCAUGUGCUCAUAGGGAUCGAUAUGGACAUCCACGGUCCCGCUAUCAGUCAUUGAACGAACAGUUUCAUCCUUGUAUGUUAAUUACCGAACCUACGGGGUCACAAGCUUAAGGAAAUCAUGAUCUGCUGAGUAUUAGUAGGAUGGGAUUCAUGAGAAUAUAUUUGUGAAAUUAUUUCAUGAAUGUUCAGAAUAGUCCCAAGAGGACCCGAAAGCGUUUCGGGGUCACCGGAAGGGUUUCGGUGAAUAUCGGGCAAUACCAGGUAUUACUAAUAUUAUAUAUAUAUAUAUAUAUAAGUGGAAAAUGUUUCCAGAUAUAUUAACUAUAUAUGAUGGUCUAGAAAUAUUUAGAACAUUUAUAUUUAAUUUAAAUAUCUACGAGCCUUAAAAGGCCAAGAGGUGGAAGUUAUUAUGGGCCACAAGGGCCCAUAAGGAAGUGGCGCCCCCUUGCCAUAUAGGGGGGUCGAUUGGACUAGGGGAGGAGUAGAACUCCUACCCCUUUGCCGGCUCCCCAAGGAGGGUCUUUCCCUCCUUGGUGGAUGCCCCCUCCACUAACCUAUAUAUACUAGGUUUUUUGCUCUGUUGGAUAUACUUGGAGCCUCCUCUAGUUCUUCUGGUUCUAGUUCUAGUUGGUCCUAGUUGACUAAUAAGAGCUAGUAUAAUCCUCCUGUCCUCAUAAUUAGAAGCCCUGUGUGGUUCUAAUCUCCUUCCUCUAAUACUCUGGUGAUGAUUAGCUUUGGACGGUGAAGCGCUAUCGGAUCGUGAAGGCUACACGCUUGCAACCAAGUAGAGAGGUCAUGCUUUCAGUCUUCUGUUCGAGGGACUAUUCGUGGGUAUUAUGAGGGAUCGUUCAUCGAUAGUACGAGGGACUCUAAGUGUUAUCUACACCGACACUUUCUUCUUUCGCUACAACUCGGUGACGGUAACGAUCGUGAUCCCAACCCGUUAUGCAUCUACAUACAGAUCUUGGGUGAUCAUAGGCGCAAUUUUUUUCCUACUAUGUUUCCCAACAGUGGCAUCGUGAGUUGUUAUAUGAGUAGGUGCAGGUUGCAAUCUAGAUCACAUGUGAUUGUGAGGGUAGAUGUUCUUGCUAUGCUUCCCUAGAGUGUUGCUUCGGUUCAACUCAUCAAUGGUAUGGUGUCGCUUUUUACAAGGUUCUGACAAUCGAUCGACUCUGGUUGUUGAUGAUUUGCUAACAAUUCCUUGGGCUUCACCAUAGUUGAGAAUAGUGAACCUCAUGUACACAAGAGGGUGCCGAAGAUGGAUGAUCUUCUAGGGGGUCACGCGUAUUUGACAAAGUUUAGUGUGGGGCUAGAAAGUUUUAAGUAAGUCUCUUGUUUCACACACACCCCGAAACUUAAUCUACCAUCAAGAGUCGUCGCCUAAAUUGUUGACAUAGGUAGCUAGUAUUACUUGUUAAAACUGGUUAACCGCAUGACUAAAAUUUUGCUAAAAUUGAUUAGAGGACGUCUAACUUGGUUUUGCAGGGUAUGCAUAUAAUGUGGUAUAGCCUUCGUCAUGAUAAUGAGUUUAUUUAUGAUAUGGUUAUAUAUAUGUUGUAAUGUUAAGUGGCCUGUGCGUCACACCAUGAUGGUUGGAGCCACGAGAUUGUCACGUUAAUGUAAAUAUGGUAGAGAUAGCCUACAUGUUGCAGGUGACGAUGGCAACCGUACACGGAGGACCCCGAUGUGGAGAAGGUGUACUUGGCACGUGCUACUUGUAAACUGUGUUGGGAUUUUCCCUGAAGAGGAGGGGAUAUGGAGCGCAGUAGAGAUAAGUAUUCCCCUCAGUGAGAACCAAGGUUAUCAAACCAAUAGGAGAACCAAGAAAACUCUCGUCAUCAGCACCUGCACACACAAAAGAAAAUACUUGCACCAAAUGCGGGCAAGAGGGUUGUCAACCCCCUUGAACUCGUUACUUGCAAGGAUCAAAUCUUGUAUAGGUAGAUAGAUAAAUUGCAAAACAAAAUUAAAGUAAAUAAACUGCAGCAAAGUAUUUUAGUUUUUAUAAUAUGGUAAAAGCAGACCCGAGGGCCAUAGUUUUCACUAGAGGCUUCUCUCUCAUACACAUAGCAUACAAUGGGUAAACAAAUUAUUGUUGGGCAAUUGAUAGAAAAGCACAGAGUUAUGACGUUAUUCAUGACAAUGAUCACACUUAUAGGCAUCACGUCCAUGACAAGUAGAUCGACUCCUGCCUGCAUCUACUACUAUUACUCCACCAAUCGAUCGCUAUCUAGAACAUGCAUCUAUGGUAUUAAGUUCAUGACAAAUAGAGUAACACUUUAAGCCAAGAUGACAUGAUGUAGACAAAGUAAACCCAAACAAUAUGAAUAAACCCAGUCAUUUUAUCCUCAGUAGCAACAAUACAAUAUGUGCCUCACUACCCCUUUUGUCACGAGGUGAGGACACCACAAGAUUGAACCCACUACAAAGCACCUCUACCACUAAAGAUAAAUCAAUCUAGUUGGCCAAACCAAAUAGAUAGACCGGAGAGAAAUACAAAGCUAUCAUAAUCAUGCAUAAUAAAGUUCAGAAAAGGCUCAAUUACUUCCAAUGAAUAAUCUGAUCAUAAACUCACAAUUCAUCGGAUCCCAACAAAUACACCUCAAAAGAAUACUACAUCUGAUAGAACUCCAAGAAGAUCUAGGAGAACAUUGUAUUGAAGAUCAAAGAGAGAGAAGAAGCCAUCUAGCUACUAAUAUGUCUCCAGCAUAUCUAUAAUUUUUGAUUGUUCCUUGCUAUUAUAUUAUCUAUUUUGGAUGUUUAAUAGGCAUUUAUAUGCUAUUUUAUAUUAUUUUUGGGACUAACCUAUUAACUGAGAGCCUAGUGCCAGUUUCUGUUUUUUUUGCCUAUUUUAGAGUUUUACAGAAAAGGAAUACCAAACGGAGUCCAAACGGAAUGAAACUUUCGGGGCGAUCUUUCUUGGACCGGAAGGAAACCAGAAGACAUGGAGAUGAAGUCGGAGACAUAACAAGGCGGCCACGAGGUAGGAGGGCACGCCCAGGGGGUACGGAGCGCCCCUACCUCGUGGGCCCCUCGUAGCUCCCUUGACCUAGCUCCAUCGCCUAUAUAUAGUCUUAUACCCUAAAAACAUCCAGGGGAGCCACGAAACCACGUUUCCACCGUCGCAACCUUCUGUACCCGUGAGAUCCCAUCUAGGGGCAAUUUCCAGCGUCCUGCCGGAGGGGGAUUCGAUCACGGAGGGCUUAUUCAUCAACACCAUUGCCUCUCUGAUGAUGUGCGCGUAGUUUACCACAUACCUACGGGUCCAUAGCUAAUAGUCUCUCUUUGAUUCUCAAUACCAUGUUCUCCUUGAUGUUCUUGGAGUCGAUGUAAUAUUCUUUUGCGGUGUGUUUGCCGAGGUUCGAUGAAUUGUGGAUUUAUGAUCAGAUUAUCUAUGAAUAUUUGUUUCUUCUUUGAAUUCUUAUAUGCAUGAUUUGAUAUCUUUGCAAGUCUCUUCAAAUUAUCGGUUUAGUUUGGCCUACUAGAUUGAUCUUUCUUGCAAUGCGAUAAGUGCUUAGCUUUGGGUUCAAUCUUGCGGUGUCCUUUCCCAAUGACAGUAGGGGAAACAAGGCACAUAUUGUAUGUUGCCAUCGAGGAUAAAAAGAUGGGGUUUUCAUCAUAUUGCUUGAGUUAAUUCCUCUACAUCAUGUCAUCUUACUUAAUGUGUUACUUUGUUCUUUAUGAACUUAAUACUCUAGAUGCAGGCAGGAGUCGGUCGAUCUGUGGAGUAAUAGUAGUAGAUGCAGAAUCAUUUCGGUCUACUUGACAUGGACGUGAUGCCUAUGUUCAUGAUCAUUGCCUUAGAUAUCGUCAUAACUUUGCACUUUUCUAUCAAUUGCUCGGCAGUAAUUUGUUCACCCACCGUAAUAUGUGCUAUCUUGAGAGAAGCCACUAGUAAAUCAUAUGGCCCCGGGUCUCUUUUCCAUUAUACUGAAUCUUGUUUACAUCUUAUUAGUUUCCUGUCAACUUGCCAAUUUCUGUCGCCGUUCCCUAUUUUGCAAUCUUCACUUCUCAAUAUAUAAACGAAAAAUACCAAAAACAUUUACUUUACCAUUUAUCUAUCUCUAUCAGAUCUCACUUUUGCAAGUGAUCGUGAAGGGAUUGACAACCCCUUUAUCGCGUUGGGUGCAAGUUGUUGAUUGUUUGUGGAGGUAUUCGGUGACUUGUGCAUUGUCUCCUACUGGAUUGAUACCUUGGUUCUCAAACUAAGGGAAAUACUUAUGCUACUUUGUUGCAUCACCCUUUGCUCUUCAAGGGAAAAACCAACGCAAGCUCAAGAGGUAGCAAGAAGGAUUUCUGGCGCCGCUGCCGGGGAGAUCUACGUCAAGUCAAGCCAUACCAAGUACCCAUCAUAAACUCUUCUCCCUUGCAUUACGUUAUUCAUCAUUCUCCUCUCGUUUUCCUCUCCCCCACUUCUAAAAUGAUUUUCGAAAACCUUUGCCUUUUUUGCCCCUCUUCCGUUCGUCUCUUUUCGCUUGCUUCUUUUGUGCUUGUGUGUUGGAUUGGUUGCUUUAUCACGAUGGCUCAAGAUAAUACCAAAUUGUGUGACUUUUCCAAUACCAACAACAAUGAUUUUAUUAGCACUCCGAUUGCUCCCACUACUAAUGUUGAAUCUUGUGAAAUUAAGGUCGCUUUGUUGAAUCUUGUUAUGAAAGAUAAAUUUUCUGGCCUUCCUAGUGAAGAUGCCGCAUCCCAUCUAAACAAUUUCAUUGAUUUGUGCGAUAUGCAAAAGAAAAAAGAUAUGGAUAAUGAUAUUGUUAAAUUGAAGCUAUUUCCGUUUUUGCCUAGAGAUCGUGCUAAAACUUGGUUUUCAUCUUUGCCUAAAAAUAGUAUUGAUUCAUGGAAUAAGUGUAAAGAAUCUUUCAUCUCUAAGUAUUUUCCUCCCGCUAAGAUCAUCUCCCUUAGGAACGAUAUUAUGAAUUUUAAGCAACUUGAUCAUGAGCAUGUUGCACAAUCUUGGGAGAGGAUGAAAUUGAUGAUACGUAAUAGCCCUACACAUGGUUUGGAUUUGUGGAUGAUUAUACAAAAAAAUUAUGCCGGAUUGAAUUUUGCUUCUACAAAUCUUUUAGAUUCGGCCGCGGGAGGCACUUUUAUGGGAAUCACUUUAGGAGAGGCUACUAAGCUCCUAGAUAAUAUUAUGGUCAAUUAUUCUCAAUGGCACACCAAAAGAUCCACUAGUAAAAAGGUUCAUACGAUUGAAGAGAUUAAUGUUUUGAGUGGAAAGAUAGAUGAACUUAUGAAAUUGUUUCCUAAUAAAAGUGUUUCUUAUGAUCCUAAUGAUGUGCCUUUGUCCACUUUGAUUGAGAAUAAUAAUGAAUCUAUGGAUGUGAAUUUUGGUGGUUGGAACAAUGUUGGUAACAAUGCGUCUAGUGGCAAUUUUAAUCCUAGGCUGUUUCCUAGUAAUUCCUCUAAUAAUUAUGGUAAUUCCUACAAAAAUUCUUAUGGAAAUUUUAAUAAUAUGCCCUCUGAUUUUGAGAAUAGUGUUAAAUAAUUAAUGAGUUCACAAAAGAAUUUCAAUGCUUUGAUUGGAGAAAAAUUUCUCAAGAUCGAUGAUUUGGCUAGGAACAUGGAUAGAAUUUCUCUUGAUGUCAUGCUUAGGUGGGAUAGAUCUAAGUUUCAAAGAAUCAACAUCAAGGUGAGUCAACUUUAGGUAAAAGGCGUCCCAAUGAUUCGGAGUUUUUAGAUCUAGAUGCAAAAAUUGAUAAAAGUGGGAUUGGGAAGGUCAAGACUUUAAGUAGCAAUGAGCCCACUCUUUUAGAUUUCAAGAAAUUUAAUUAUGAUAAGUAUUCUUUAAUAGAUUGUAUUUCCUUGUUGCAACCCAUGUUAAAUUCUCCUCAUGCUUAUAAUCAAAACAAAGCUUUUACUAAACAUAUCGUUGAUGCUAUGAUGCAAUCUUUUGAAGAACAACUUGAAUUAGAAGUUUCUAUCCCUAGAAAACUUUGUGAUGAGUGGGAACCUACUAUUAAGAUUAAGAUUAAAGAUUGUGAAUGCUAUGCUUUGUGUGAUUUGGGUGCUAGUGUUUCCACAAUUCCAAAAACUUUGUGUCAUGUGUUAGGUUUCCGUGAAUUUGAUGAUUGUUCUUUAGAUUUGCAUCUUGCGGAUUCCACUAUUAAGGAACAUAUGGGAAGGAUUAAUGAUGUUCUUAUUGUUGCAAAUAGGAAUUAUGUGUCUGUAGAUUUCAUUGUUCUUGAUAUAGAUUGCAAUCCUACAUGUCUUAUUAUUCUUGGUAGACCUUUCCUUAGAACGAUUGGUGCAAUUAUUGAUAUGAAGAAGGAAACAUUAGAUUCCAAUUUCUGUUAAGGAAAGGCAAGGAACACUUUCCUAGGAAGAAAAUUAAAUUGCCUUAUUAAUCUAUUAUGAGAGCCACUUAUGGAUUACAUACCAAGGAUGACAAUACCUAGAUCUAUUCGUGUUUUUAUGCCUAGCUAAGGGCGUUAAACGAUAGCGCUUGUUGGGAGGCAACCCAAUUUUAUUUUUGUUCUUUGCUUUUUGUUCCUGUUUAGUAAUAAAUAACUCAUCUAGACACUUGUUAGAUGUGGUUUUAUGUUUAAUUUAGUGUUUGUGCCAAGUGGAACCUUCAGGAUAGCUUACAGUGAUAGUUGUGUUGAUCCUGCUAAAAAUCAGAAACUUUUGUGCUUAGUAAAUUAGUUUUGAAAAUUCAUAGAAACGUGCUUUUCAUCUAAUUCUUUUUGCUCUGGAUUGGUACAGAAAUUGCUCAGGUUUUCCUAAUUUGUAUGGAGUUUUGGAUUUACACAAGUAUUCGAGAGUUACAUAUUACUACAGACUGUUAUGUUUUUGAUAGAUUCUGUUUUUCGCGUAUAUUUGCUUAUUUUGAUGAAUCUAUGGGUAGUAUCAGGGGGUAUGAACCAUGGAGAAGUUGGAAUACAUUAGAUAUUAAACCAAUAUAAAUAAAGAAUGAGUUUGCAACAGUAACUUAAACUGGUGAUUUAUUUUCUUAUACUAAAAGAGCUCAUGAGAUUUUCUGUUGAGUUUUGUGUUGUGAAGUUUUCAAGUUUUGGGUAAGGAUUUGAUGGACUAUGUAAUUAGGAGUGGAAAGAGCCUAAGCUUGGGGAUGCCCAAGGCACCCCAAGGUAAUAUUCAAGGACAACCAAAAUCCUAAGCUUGGGGAUGCCCCGGAAGGCAUCCCCUCUUUCGUCUUCGUCUAUCGGUAACUUUACUUGAGGCUAUAUUUUUAUUCACCACAUGAUAUGUGUUUUGCUUGGAGCGUCUUGUAUGAUUUGAGUCUUUGCUUUUUAGUUUACCACAUUCAUCCUUGCUGUACACACCUUUCGGGUGAGACACGCAUGAAUCAUGAUUUAUUAGAAUACUGUAUGCGCUUCACUUAUAUCUUUUGAGCAAGGCAAUAUUGCUCUAGUACUUCACUUAUAUCUUUUUAGAGCACGGUGUUGGCUUUAUUUUAUAGAAUUGUUGAACUCUCAUGCUUCACUUAUGUUAUUUUGAGAGUCUUUUAGAACAGCAUGGUAAUAUGCUUGGGUUAUAAAACUAGUCCUAAUAUGAUGGGCAUCCAAGAGGGAUAUAAUAAAAACUUUCAUGUAAAGUGCAUUGAAUACUAUGAGAAGUUUGAUUCUUUAUGAUUGUUUUGAGAUAUGAAGAUGGUGAUAUUAGAGUCAUGCUAGUGGAGUAAUUGUGAAUUUGAUAAAUACUUGUGUUGAGAUUUGUGAGUCUCGUAGCAUAUAUGUAUGGUAACCAUUGUGUAACAACUUUGAAGCAUGACGUAUCUCUUUGAUUGUCAUCCUUUGUGUGGAGGUCGGGAUCGUGCGAUGGUUAACUCCUACCAACCCUUCCCCUAGGAGCAUGCGCGUAGUGCUUGGUUUUGAUGACUUGUAGAUUUUUGCAAUAAAUAUGUGAGUUCUUUAUGACUAAUGUUGAGUCCAUGGAUUAAACACACUCUCACCCUUCCACCAUUGCUAGCCUCUCUUGUGCCGCACAACUUUUGCCAGUACCAUACACCCACCAUUUACCUUCCUCAAAACAGCCACCAUACCUACCUAUUAUGGCAUUUCCAUAGCCAUUCCGAGAUAUAUUGCCAUGCAACUUUCCACCGUUCCGUUUAUUAUGACACGCUUCAUCAUUGUCAUAUUGCUUUGCAUGAUCAUGUAGUUGACAUCGUAUUUGUGGCAAGGCCACCUUUCAUAAAUCUUUCACACAAGUCACUCUUGAUUCAUUACACAUCCCGGUAAACCGCCGGAGGCAUUCACAUAGAGUCAUAUUUUGUUCUAAGCAUUGAGUUGUAAUUUUUCGAGUUGUAAGUAAAUAGAAGUGUGAUGAUCAUCAUUAUUAGAGCAUUGUCCCAUGUGAGGAAAUAAAAAAAAGAGGCCAAAUAAGCCAAUAAAAAAAUAGACCAAAGAAGCCAAUCAAAAAAUGAGAGAAAAAGGGAGAAGGGGCAAUGUUAGUAUCCCUUUUCCACACUUGUGCUUCGAAGUAGCACCAUGAUCUUCAUGUUAGAGAGUCUCUUAUUUUGUCACUUUCAUAUACUAGUGGAAAAUUUUAAUUAUAGAACUUGGCUUGUAUAUUCUAAUGAUGGGCUUCCUCAAAUGCGCUAGGUCUUCAUGAGCAAGCAAGUUGGAUGCACACCCACUUAGUUUCUUUUUGAGCUUUCAUACACUUAUAGAUCUAGUGCAUCAGUUGCAUGGCAAUCCCUACUCACUCACAUUGAUAUCUAUUGAUAGGCAUCUCCAUAGCCCAUUAAUACGCCUAGUUGAUGUGAGACUAUCUCCUCUUUUUUGUCUUCUCCAGAACCACCAUUCUAUUCCAUCUAUAGUGUUAUGUCCAUGGCUCACGCUCAUGUAUUGCGUGAAAGUUGAAAAAGUUUGAGAAUACUAAAGUAUGAAACAAUUGCUUGGCUGAAACCAGGGUUGUGCAUGAUUUGAAUAUUUUAUGUGACAAAGAUGGAGCAUAGCCAAACUAUAUGAUUUUGUAGGGAUAAACUUUCUUUGGCCAUGUUAUUUUGAGAAGACAUAAUUGCUUUGUUAGUAUGCUUGAAGUGUUAUUGUUUUCAUGUCAAUAUUAAACUUUUGUUUUGAAUCCUUCGGAUCUGAACAUUCAUGCCACAAUAAAGAAAAUUACAUGGAUAAAUAUGUUAGGUAGCAUCAAAAAUUCUGUUUUUAUCAUUUACCUACUCGAGGACGAGCAGGAAUUAAGCUCGGGGAUGCUUCAUACGUCUCCAACGUAUCUAUAAUUUUUGAUUGUUCCAUGCUAUUAUAUUAUAUGUUUUGGAUGUUUAAUAGGCAUUUAUAUGCUAUUUUAUAUUAUUUUUGGGACUAACCUAUUAACCGAGAGCCCAGUGCCAGUUUCUAUUUUUUGCCUAUUUCAGAGUUUCACAGAAAAGGAAUACCAAAUGGAGUCCAAACAAAAUGAAACUUUCGUGAUGAUCUUUCUUGGACCAGAAGGAAACCAGAAGACUUGGAGAUGAAGUCAGAGACGGAAUGAGGCAGCCAUGAGGCAGGAGGGCGCGCCCAGGGGGGUAGGGCGUGCCCCCUACCUCGUGGGCCCCUCGUAGCUCCCCUGACCUAGCUCCUUCACCUACAUAUACUCUUAUACCCUAAAAACAUCCAGGGGAGCGACGAAACCACUUUUCCACCGCCGCAAUCUUCUAUACCCAUGAGAUCCCAUCUAGGGGCCUUUUCCGGCAUCCUGCUGGAGGGGGAUUUGAUCAUGGAGGGCUUCUUCAUCAACACCAUUGCCUCUCCGAUGAUGCGUGAGUAGUUUACUACAGACCUACGUGUCAUAGCUAGUAGCUAGAUGGCUUAUUCUCUCUCUUUGAUUCUCAAUACCAUGUUCUCCUCUGUGUUCUUAGAGAUCUAUUCGAUGUAAUAUUCUUUUGUUGUGUGUUUGCCGAGAUCCGAUGAAUUGUGAAUUUAUGAUCAGAUUAUCUAUGAAUAUUAUUUGGUUCUUCUCUGAAUUCUUAUGUGCACGAUUUGAUAUCUUUGCAAGUAUUUUCAAAUUUUUAGUAUAGUUUGGCCUACUAGAUUGAUCUUUCCUGCAAUGGGAGAAGUGCUUAGCUUUGGGUUCAAUCUUCCGGUGUCCUUUCCCAGUGACAGUAGGGGCAGCAAGGCACAUAUUGUAUUGUUGCUAUCGAGGAUAAAAAUAUGGGGUUUUCAUCAUAUUGCUUGAGUUCAUUCCUCUACAUCAUGUCAUCUUACUUAAUGCGUUACUCUCUUCUUUAUGAACUUAAUACUCUAGAUGCAGGCAGGAGUCGGUCGAUGUGUGGAGUGUUGGAAAUAUGCCCUAGAGGCAAUAAUAAAAUGGUUAUUAUUAUAUUUCUUUGUUCAUGAUAAUUGUUUGUUAUUCAUGCUAUAAAUGUGUUAUCCGGAAAUCAUAAUACACGUGUGAAUACAUAGACCACAACAUGUCCCUAGUGAGCCUCUAGUUGACUAGCUCGUUGAUCAACAGAUAGUCAUGGUUUCCUGACUAUGGACAUUGGAUGUCAUUGAUAAUGGGAUCACAUCGUUAGGAGAAUGAUGUGAUGGACGAGACCCAAUCCUAAGCAUAGCUCAAAGAUCAUGUAGUUCGUUUAGCUAGACCUUUUCCAAAUGUCAAGCAUCAUUUCCUUAGACCAUGAGAUUGUGCAACUCCCGGAUACCGUAGGAGUGCUUUGGGUGUGCCAAACGUCACAACGUAACUGGGUGCUAUAAAGGUGCACUACGGGUAUGUCCGAAAGUGUAUGUUGGGUUGGCACGAAUCGAGACUGGGAUUUGUCACUCCGUAUGACGGAGAGGUAUCUCUAGGCCCCUCGGUAAUGUAUCAUCAUAAUGAGCUCAAUGUGACCAAGUGUCUGGUCAUGGGAUCAUGCAUUAUGGUACGAGUAAAGUGACUUGCCGGUAACGAGAUUAAACGAGGUAUUGGGAUACCGACGAUCGAAUCUCGGGCAUGUAACGUACCGGUUGACAAAGGGAAUUGUAUACGGGAUUGCUUGAGUCCUCGACAUCGUGGUUCAUCCAAUGAGAUCAUCGAGGAGCAUGUGGGAGCCAACAUGGGUAUCCAGAUCCCGCUGUUGGUUAUUGACCGGAGAGGCGUCUCGGUCAUGUCUGCAUGUCUCCCGAACCCGUAGGGUCUACACACUUAAGGUUCGAUGACGCAAGGGUUGUAAAGAUAUGAGUAUGCAGUAACCCGAAAGUUGUUCGGAGUCCCGGAUGAGAUCUCGGACGUCACGAGGAGUUCCGGAAUGGUCCGGAGGUAAAGAAUUAUACUCCCUCCGUUUCUAAAUAUAAGGUGUAUUAGUUUUUCAAAAAGUCAACUGUUGUCUAUGUUUGACCAACUUUAUAGCAAAAUGUAUAAAGAUUUAUAAUACUAAAUAUAUAAAAUGUAAAAAUAUAGUUCAUAAUGAAUCUAGUGAUAAUGAUUUGGUAUUCUAGAUAUUGAUAUUUUUGUCUAUAAACUAGGUCAAACUUAGAGAAGUUUGACUUUUUGGAAAAAUAAUACACCUUAUAUUGAGGAACGGAGGGAGUAUAUAGGAAGUCAAGUUUCGGCCAUCGGGAAAGUUUCGGGGGUUACCGGUAUUGUACCGGGACCACCGGAAGGGUCUCGGGGGUCCAUCGGGUGGGGCCACCUAUCCCAGAGGGCCCCAUGGGUUGAAGUGGGAGGGGAACCAGCCCUUGGUUGGCUGGUGCGCCCCCCUUGGGCCCUCCUGUGCCUAGGGUUGGAAACCCUAGGGGUGGGGGUGCCUCCACUUGCCUUGGGGGGCAAGCCACCCCCUUGGCCGCUGCCCUGUCGGUGUACUAGAGUAGGGGUACCCUAGUAUCCCAAACUUGUGCACGGGCAGUUGCAGCACCCCGCGGCAAGGCUUGCCGGAUGACCGCCAAGGUCCUCCGUGGUUCCUUUGGAGCCAUUCAAGAACAAAGUAUUCAAGCCAAGGAGACAAGGCCCCGGCAAGAGGAGCUUGCCAGGAAGGCCAACCAAGGCAUCUCAAGGAACUUGCCGCGACGCGCCACGCGUCCCGGCGAGGCCCGGUGAGCGACAAGCUUCCGGACACGACAAGACAACGACCGCGGCAAGGCGCUUGCCGCGACAAGCUACCACUCUGUACCCGCGCUCCAGCACAUCCACCAACAUGUCGCCCUGGGGCCUUUCCAGGCGCGCGUGGCAAGAGGCUGUGCAGCCAGCGGUGCGCGGUGGCAAGCGACGCUGACAAGAUGGCCAUCAUGGCGAGCGGUGGCAUCCCUGACGGUCCCUUUUUGCACUAUUUGGGCGACGUAGACGGGCAUUUAAUGCCUUUGUCCCCUGCCGUCAGGGUUAGGUAUGAUACACUAUACAGGUAGUUGUACCAACCGCAAUUCCUUUUCCAUUUUUACCCUUGUCUACGUUGCCACCUGUCGGAAACCCCUUUAGCAUAUAAAAGGAGGCCCAUGCGCAACGUAGAAGUGGUUCGAAGGCAGAAAAACACUCACGCUGGGUCUCGUUAGCAGCUAGUGUGUAUUGUAGCACUCAGCGCUCCCGAGCAAGAACUCAAUACACCCAGACAUGCAGCAGUAGGAGUGUUAUCUCUCCGGAGAGCUCCGAAGCUGGGUAAACCGCUCGUGUGCUUCGCCUCGAUCUGCUCUUCGUGCGAUCUCCGCCCCCCGCCGAACCGAAAGGGGCUCGGUCCGCCGGUCCCAUAGGUGUUCGUGGAUCAGUUUCCCCGACAUCUUUGGCGCGCCAGGUAGGGGGCGUCGAGGUUGUGUGGACCUGAUCCGGCGUUCACACGAGCUAGAUCUUCAUCUUCUUCAUCGACAUGCCACCGAAGAAGAAGGCUUCGGAGGCAGCUGUUCCGUCCGCGUCGAUCCCACCGCCACCGGAGCAAGCGGGCGGUGGGGUAGACGCCGGCGGAAGAAUGGGCGCCGACGAGGGAGCUCACGGUGCUGCCAGGUCCAAGGACAAGGCUGCGCAGACCUUGGCGUCCGUACAUGCACCGCGCCCAUCUCAGGAGGCGCAGGACCGACAGCGUCAUGGUAUUCGCAGUGCCAUACGUUUGUUGGACCAAGAUCGAGCUAGUGGAUCUCGGGGUGCUCAAGAACAGCAUGCACGCCAACAUGCUGGCACGAGCGAGACACGGUCGCCUGGACGGGAUACUGCUCCUUCUAACAUAGUUAGAAGUCCGAGCAUAUCCCGCUCCUCGCGCCGUUUGCCAGUGCCGCCCACCACUCCAGUAGAAGCUUUGGCGCGAGCUCAACUGCUCCUGGAUUACCCUCCAACGGCAGACAAGAUCGAUGAAUGGAGGGCCACCAUUCAGAGUCUCAUCGGCUUCGCCAACGGCGACACUCCGCGGCAGCCGGGUACAUCGCUGACGCGGCAGGACUGCCAGGCACGAGCCGAUGGCGAUGAAACCGGUGGGGGUGCAACCACCAUGCACUCUCCACCCCGAAGGCCAAGAUCGCCGACUCGCCGGAUCCACCUCGACAGCGACUCCACUGCAUCAUCAGAUCCACGAGCUCGUCGCGAUCAGCGCCAAGUUCUUCACGAAUGACAGCAAGAAGACGCUCGUACUCGCAUCGAGCGCCGAAGAGAAGCGCGGCGUCAAUCGGACCAGCACGCUGGGCCCUCUGUCGACAUGCAUGCACCAGGGGAACCAGGCGACUUGCCGUACACGGUAGGUUGCCCUGCGUUCACUCGUGAGCUGCGGCAAGUCCAGUGGCCCAGCACGAAGAAUUUCAAGCCAGACGUGCCAGAAAAGUACGACGACAAGUCGCAUCCGUCGGAGUUCCUCAGCAUCUACACCAUCGCGGUGCAAGCUGCCGGGGGGCGGGAUGACAAAAUCCUGGCCAACUACUUCCCACUGGUGCUCAAGCCCAAUGUCAGAUCUUGGCUCAUGCACUUGCCGGACAACUCCAUAUCCUCCUGGGCAGAUCUAUGCCAUCAGUUUGUCGGCGCCUUUACAGGCGGCCACAAGCCUCAUGGCCAAGAGAGAGACCUUCAUCUGCUCGCCCAGAAGGAAGGAGAGUCCCUGCGCAAGUACAUUCAGAGAUUCAGCCGCGUACAGCACAACAUCCCAGAUGUCCACCCUGCCGCGGUAAUCAGCGUGUUCGUGCGAAACCGCAGGAUGCGGGAGGAGAUGGCGAUGUGCAAGAUCAGAGACGUCAAUGAGCUAUAUGCCCUGGCCGACAAGUGUGCACGUGUUGAGGAAGGGAGGAAACUCCCCGGAGAGAAUAUAGAAGCAGGAGGAUCUGAUAGUGAGGAGGCUGCCCCGACAAAGAAAAACCGGCGGCGGAACAACAAGAAGAAGAAAGGCAAAGAUGUGCUAGUCUUUGAGCAGUCCGGAAACGGAGGUGGCGCCAAGAAAGCCAAAGCUGGUAGCUCCGGCGAGAAGAUUGCCGCAGGCACCAACUACCAGGCUGUGGCGGUUGCCGACAAGCAGGACGGCACCAACAAGCAGUACUGCAAGAUCCACCGCACCAAGGGCCAUGACCUCCAGAGCUGCAAGAAGGUCGAGCAGCUUGUCGAGCAGCAAAAAGCUGAAUACGAGCGACGCGACAAGGAGAAGGCCCAGGAAGGUGCUGGAGGAGCCGGCAAGAAACGGCCCGGCCGAGGAGGACGCCGCGGCAAGGCCAAGCAGCGGCAAGGAGACAGACCUCCCCACGGCCGCGACAAGGAUGAAGAUGAUGACGACGAUGAAGAUAUGGAUGAUGACGAGACCGAUGAGCAGGAGUUCUAGAAAGCCACAGAGGUCCUGUGAGUUGACGGCGGUGCUUCUCUGCAUACUUCACACCGCCAGCUCAAGCAGUGGGUAUGGGAAGUCAAUGCGGCAGAACCACCCGUCGAGUCACGCAAGCCUCUGAAAUGGUCCAGCACGCCUAUCAUCUUUGAUAUUGAGGACCAUCCUGAUCGCAUAACUGCGGUCGGGUGCUUGCCGGUGUUGGUUUCACCAACUAUCCGCAACCUCAAGGUCACUAAGAUGCUAGUUGAUGGCGGGGCCGGCUUGAACCUGAUCUCCUCCGUGGUACUCCAGAAACUCUAGAUCCCUGAUGGCGAGCUCGAAGAGACCGACACAUUCCAACGAAUCAAUCCGGGAAGGAGCAAGCCGAAGGGAAAGAUCACGUUGCCGGUGACAUUUGGCAGCGAGUUGAACUUCAGGACUAAGAGGGUCACUUUUGACGUUGCUGACUUUCCAUUGCCUUACAAUGGGAUACUCGGCCGUCCAGCACUCACCAAAUUCAUGGCAGCCUCUCACUAUGCAUACAACAUGCUGAAGAUGCCAGGCCCGAUAUGUGUCAUCUCUGUCCCUGGCGACAAGAAGGAUGCUCUUAUCUGCGCCGACAAGAUCUACCCGGAAGCAGCAGCCGCAGCAGAUCGCAAGUCACUUGUCGUAGAAGCUCCCGGGGCGAAGAAGAAGACCAAGUCCGGCAAGAGUUCUGAUGCCCACUCCGGCAAGCGCACCUCUUCGGAGUGCUGCGCUACCGUCGAGGACGCACCAUCGAGCUCCACCGGCAAGUGUAAGAAGACAAUGGCAGCUCCACCAGAGACCAAGAAGGUGUCCGCCAAGGAAGAUGGCACUGGUGGUACCUUCACCAUCAGUGCCACUCUCGACCCUAAAUAGGAAAGCGCGCUCGUUGCUUUCCUGCGGCAACCGUCUGACAUCCCCGAUGUUCCCAGGAAAGUAAUCGAGCACCAUCUUGUCGUCUGUCCUCAUGCGCGACCCGUCAAGCAGAAAGUCAGGAAACAGGCAGUGGAGCGCCAAGAAUUCAUCGCAGAAGAAAUCAAGAAAUUGGAAGCAGCAGGCCUUGUCAGAGGAGUGCUCCAUCCUACGUGGUUGGCCAACCCUGUAGUCGUGCGCAAGGCAAACGGGAAAUGGAGGCUUUGUAUCGACUUUACCGAUGUCAAUAAAGCUUGUCCCAAAGACCCAUUUCCCUUGCCGCGCAUCGACCAGAUUGUUGACUCCACGGCCGGAUGUGACUUGCUUUCAUUUCUUGAUGCAUACUCAGGAUACCAUCAGAUCUUCAUGGCAGAAGAGGAUGAGGAGAAGACCGCAUUCAUCACCCCAUGUGGCACAUACUGUUUCGUAUGGAUGCCUUUCGGUUUAAAGAAUGCUGGUUCAACAUUUGCAAGGGUAGUCCAUGACGCUUUUGAGCCACAAAUACACAAAAAUGUGGAAGCCUACAUGGAUGACAUAGUGGUCAAGAGCAAGGACAAGGCGACUCUGAUUCAAGAUUUAGACGAAACCUUUGCAAAUCUGCGCAAGAUCAACCUCAAGCUUAACCCCGAGAAGUGUGUGCUUGGAGUCCCCUCCGGCAAGCUUCUCGGGUUCUUCGUGUCUCGGCGGAGAAUUGAAGCCAAUCCCGACAAGAUCAAGGCCAUUGAGCAGAUUGAAGCACCAAAGCGCGUCAAGGAUGUACGAAGACUUGCCGGUUGCGUAGCUGCUCUCAGCAGGUUUAUCUCUAGGUCUGCUGAGCGCGCCUUGCCAUUUUUCAAAAUAUUGAAAAAGGUAGGUCCAAUGAAAUGGACUCCGGAAGCGGAGGCUGCACUGCAGGACUUAAAGAGAUACCUGUCCUCCACUCCAACACUUGUCGCACCUAAGCCACAAGAGAAGUUGCUGCUAUAUAUAGCGGCAACCAAUCAAGUGGUUAGUGCUGCGUUAGUAGCGGAGAGGGAGGCGGAUGAUGAGCCAGCAACCACGGCAGAUGCAUCCAGCAACAAGCAGGGGACUUCACCGGCAAGCUCUCGUCCCGACAAAGAUGGAUCUGCGCAGGCGCGUGAGAAGACGCAGAAAAAAAUGGUGCAGCGCCCAGUUUACUUUGUCAGUUCCCUUCUGCAGGGGGCUAGGUCAAGGUACUCUGGUGUGCAGAAAUUGCUUUUUGGCCUUCUCAUGGCCUCAAGAAAGCUGCGCCAUUACUUCCAAGCACAUGAAAUCACAGUUGUCACUCGUUUUCCGCUGAAGAGAAUACUGCAAAAUCCAGAAGCAACAGGCAGGAUUGUCGAGUGGGCACUGGAACUGUCAAGCUUUGGCCUCAAGUUUGAUAGCACUUCAACUAUCCAAAGCAGAGCAUUGACGGAGUUCAUAGCAGAAUGGACGCCAACACAAGAUGAAGAAAUUCCAGAAACGAGCAUCCCCGUCAAGGAAGCAAGCAAAGAGUGGCUGAUGUACUUUGAUGGUGCCUUCUCGCUGCAAGGCGCCGGUGCGGGCGUGCUACUUGUUGCACCCACCGGAGAGCACCUCAAGUACGUAGUCCAGAUGCACUUUCCCAAGGAGCAAGCAACGAACAAUACUGCAGAGUAUGAAGGUUUGCUUGCCGGUCUCAGGAUUGCAGCAGACCUUGGGAUCAAGAAGCUCAUUGUCAAGGGUGACUCACAGCUUGUCAUCUGCCAAGUGAACAAGAAUUAUCAGAGUCCAUUGAUGGAAGCUUACGUUGAUGAAGUGAGAAAGCUAGAAGAGUACUUCGACGGCCUACAGAUGGAACAUGUUCCAAGAGCUCAGAACAACAUUGUCGAUGGCCUGGCAAAGUGCGCCGCACUUAAGUUACCUGUGGAACCAGGGAUCUUUGUGCUCAAACUGACUCAACCGUCUGUAAUGCCAUCAACUGGACAGAGCAAGAAGAGGAAGUUGAUUUCUGGUGACUAUUUUCCAGCAGAGCUCCCCGAAGCCGCCGCCAAGAAGGUCCUCAAGAUCAACACCAAGGGUGCUGAGGAGCAGUCUGCUCCGGCAAGCCCUAGGGUUUGUUCCGUUGAAGCAGACGCUCCCGAGAGGUUUUGCUCCGGCAAGCUUGCCGGGGAACGUCAAGCUCCGUCUGAGCCGCAGGUUCUCGCCGUAGAAGCGGAUGUUCCCGCAGCAGCAGAUGUGCCUUUAGUCCUUGUUGUCGAGCCACAAGCUCCAGCAUGGGCACAUCAGAUUGUCCGUUUCCUUCAGACAUGAGAACUUCCCGAAGUGCAAGAAGAAGCGGAAAGAGUAGCCCGGCAGUCAAGUAUGUACCAGUUUGUCGACAACACACUGUACAGAAGAAGACUCAACGACGUGAAAUUGAAGUGUAUUCACCGGGAAGACGGACAAAAGCUGUUGGCAGAGAUACAUGGAGGCAUAUGUGGUCACCACAUUGGCGCAAGAGCACUUGCCGGCAAAGCGUUCCGGCAAGGUUUCUUUUGGCCGACAGCCCUCCAGGAUGCAACUGCACAAGUAAACAAGUGUGAAGCGUGCCAGUUCCAUUCCAAGCAGAUACACCUGCCAGCUCAAGCUCUCCAGAUGAUCCCUUUAUCCUGGCCAUUUUCGGUCUGGGGGCUCGACAUCCUCGGCCCCUUUCCCCGAGCUGUCGGGGGCUUUGAGUACUUGUACGUUGCAAUCGACAAGUUCACAAAGUGGCCGGAAGUGGAAGCAGUGAGGAAGGUGACAGCACAGUCAGCAGUCAAGUUCUUCAGGUCGAUUGUUUGCUGCUUCGGGAUCCCUAACAGGAUCAUCACCGACAAUGGCACGCAAUUCACGAGCCGCACCUUCAUGCAGUACGUCCAAGAUCUUGGCGCCAAGGUCUGCUUCGCUUCUGUUGCUCAUCCGAGAAGUAACGGUCAAGCGGAGAGGGAAAAUGCUGAAGUGCUGCGCGGGCUCAAGACCAGAACUUUCGACAGGCUGCGCAAGUGCGGAAAGAACUGGAUUGAGGAGCUGCCGGUGGUUCUUUGGUCGAUCAGGACGACGCCAAAUCGAGCCACUGGCCAGACACCUUUCGCUCUAGUCUAUGGAGCAGAGGCAGUUCUCCCCACGGAACUCGUAUACGGGUCACCUCGAGUGCUCGCUUAUGAUGAGCUUGAACAAGAGCAGUUGCGACAAGAUGACGCGCUGCUCCUUGAGGAGGACCGUCUUUAGGCUGCUGUACGAGCUGCUCGAUACCAGCAAGCUUUGCGCCGCUACCAUAGCCGCAAAGUUAAUGCCAGAAGUCUCGAGGAAGGCGACCUUGUUCUUCGGCGCAUUCAGUCCGCCAAGAAUUCCAACAAGUUGACGCCGAAGUGGGAAGGCCCUUACCGGGUGAAACAAGUCACUAGGCCUGGCGCUGUCCGCCUUGAGACCGAAGAUGGCAUUCCGGUGAGCAACUCCUGGAACAUUGAGCAUCUUCGUAAGUUUUACCCGUAAGGCGCGGUUGCCGGAACCUAUUCCGGCAACCACCUUUUGUACAAGUCUUGCCGAUGUUACAUGUAAUCCUUUGUACGAAGCCGGGCGCAGACCCCGUGCAUAAGUAAAGCUCAUGUGCUCCGCAUAUCUUGUCAAUUUCAUGCUUUCUACUUUCUUUUGCAUGCGUUAUCUGACACUUUGUGCAGCACCUACCCCCGGUAAGCAAUAACGAGCCAUAAGGCUCCAUAUCUUUAUUUUCUCUUCUUUCUCUUUCUCAAAGAAAGGAAGGUUCCCUCGCCCACAAGUUUGUCGGGGGGAAGGAGAAAAUAAUGGUAUGGACCAAGCGUCGCUCGAGGAAGUUUCGCCUUACCGGGAAGCAAAUGACAGAAAAGCUAAGUUGCUAAAAUUCGAGCAAUCAGUUUUUAAAUUUUUAAGUUAUCUUCCUCGAACGGCCGUGCUUUGUAUGGAAAACCUGUGCGCGGAGGAACCAACUCAUAGCUAGUUGCGCCCUUACUUUGUUUCGAGUCUGCUCAACAACUUAAGUGAGCUGCGACUAGUUGUGACAAGGUUUCUUGUCGGUAGCAGCACCGCCAGCAGGCUGCUGAUGUCCCGCACUUAGCGCUCGCGGCUAAGGUGCCUGCGCCGACAAGUUCCCUAAAAGCGUAGGGCAAAAACAUACAAAGGAAGGAAUCAAGUAAAGGAAAUAACACAGCAAUCUCUACCCAAAAUAGAGUUAUAUUACAAGAUAGCUUGUCGCGGCUCUAACAGAUUGUUCUCAUAACAUGACCAGCAGCGACAAGAAAAAGAGAAAACGGGCGGCCUAAUCUACGCGAUCGCCCUCAACCCUCUUGAUCCCGCUCACCUUGUCCACAAUGGAUGCGACAAGGGCCUUGAGCACUUCCAGAUCAGCAUCCGGCGGCAGGGAUCUGAGGACGUUGGUGAGGUUGAGGCCUGGGUUGCGGAAGGCCACCUUCACCAGCACCUUUUGAAGAGCUCCCGCACAGAUCUUGCGUGACUCGUCGGCCAGCUGCUCUGGGAUCUUCUCCCGGAGUCGCUGGAGGGCCGUCGCCACGCCUUUGAAGAACAAGCUGAGCUUGGCGCUGGGUUGGAGGUGUUCAUCGGAGGAAUACCCGAGAUCCUCCAUCCCCAGCUGCGCCAGCUCCCCGUCGAUGGCUGCGGCAACAUCCACGAGACCCUCCGUCCAGUGCUCCACAUUCUCCCUAAAAGCAUUCUGGGCAGCAGCGGCACUCGCCAGCAGCGCCUCGUCGGCCUUGAUCUUCUCCGUCAAGGCCACCUCCCGCUCCCUGGCGCUGUCCAGCGUCUGAGUCAAAGUAACCAGCUUCAACUCAAGAUCUGCGUUGGAGUCCUUGGCGGUGCUAAGCUCUUUGCUCCUCUCAGCGAGACGACCCUGCAGCUUGCCAUGAGCGGCGGCGUCGUUCUCGCGCUCACACUUGAGCGCAGCAAGCUCCUCGCCGCUCGCCUUGAGAUCGGCCUCCAGCUGCGCCAUCUUCGUCUCCAGCUCCUUCUUGGCGGCCUCGGCAGCUGCGGCAGCAUCCUCUACUUCCUUGAGAGCCCCGCCAAAUGCUUGCUCGCACGCGGCAAGCUCCUCCUCGUGGCUGUCAAGGUUGACCUUGCGCUGCGCCAACUCGCCUUCCUGCGCAGAUAGCUUUUUGGCAACAAGCCGCUGUUGCUCUUCAACUUCAGCCUUCUCGAGGAGGAAGGCUUUCCGCUCCUUGGCGAGUCGCUCCCGCUCCUCUGCCAGGGACCGGAGAGCUUCCUACCUGAGACCCCGGAGCUCCUCCGCCCGCUUCUCGAUGUCCACUCCCGCCUUCGCGACAAGCGCUUCUCGGGAUUCCAGCUUGGCCUGUCGGGCACGGUAAAGCGACAAUAGCUUCCGCAGCAGCCGCUCCUCCUCAGGCUCGUCGCUACUGCUGCUUGGCGCGUUGACCAGCGUCAGCCCAGCGAAGGCGAGCACCUCUUCAUCCAAGAUCUCUCCUUCGACCGGUGCCCUGGAGCUUGACGCCCAGGGGAGCUUGAUGAAGAUGCCGUCGCCGGCCUUCAAAUAGGCGCCGGGCUGGGGCUCUUCGGAGCCUGGCGCUGCAGCAGCGGCGGAGGGAUCGGCGGUCGGCGUAGUGCCUGACGCUCCUGUGGCCUCGGGGCCGUCAGUGCGAUCGCCGGAUCCCUCGCCAGCUUCUGCGGCGGCAGCUUUGAUGGCCUCUUCGCCGGCGGGAUCAUCAGCGCCGGCUUCUCCUUCGGUGGCAACGGCGUCGUCGGUAUUGCUGCGCGCGUUCUCCUCGCCGGCGACCUCGGUUUCCAUCGGCUCCGUGGCAGAUGGAUCUGACGAACGGAAAAAGGAGAAAAGUCAAGCAAAUAUCCAAAAAGAAAAUCAGAAGAAGAAGAACCCAAGGGAAGUUUUCAAGCAAGAGGAUUACCUGUACCAGGAUCUGCAGUCAUGGUCUCAACCACCGGAGGGUCGCCAGUGCUGUCCGUUGCCGGAGAACUGUCCCUUGCCGGAGAAUUCUCCCUUGCCGGAGAACGCUCCCUUGCCGGGGAAUCCUCCCUUGGCGGUGUAGUCGAAGCACAUGGCAUUUCGGGAGCGGCUUCCGGGCACUCCUGGUGAGGCUGCUCUGCUCCCACACAAACCAACAGUCAGAUAUCAGCAAAGAAAGAGCACCCAUGCGCGCCUGACAGCAGGAAGUAAACCAUAUACUUACGCUGGGGGCUGCGCUGGGGGCUGCUUUGGGGAAAAGUUGCCGGGUCCGGCAAGGUGGUCUCGGACACGCCCCCUGCUAUCGCGGUGGGUUCGUCCUCGAUGACAAUCACCGGGACUUUGGCUCUCUUCGCCGCUCUCUGGGCCAGAGUCCUGAAAAGGAAUGGGUUCGGAGUAAAGCAAAUCAGAUACAAGACAAAACAACAAGAAUUGAAGAACUACAAGUACAUCAAAGAAUCUUACUCUUCUUCUUCCUCGUCGGAGCUGAGCGCGGAGAGAUCGAAGUCUGGCUCGCCUCCGGUGCGACGAGGCGGAGGAGUAGGUUCCCUUGUCCGCUUGGCAGGAGCAGUAGCGGUGGACCGGGAAGACCCCGCUCCAGUUGCCGCAGCGGCGUGAGGCGCUCCCGCGGCAACAGUGCUUGCCACGGUAGAGCGUGUCGCGCGGCACGGCGGCUGUUGACUCGUAUUCCGCCCCGCUACGUCCCCGGCCUUGCGGAGACGCCUUCUUGGUGGAGCUGGGGGCUCCACUUGUGGCGAGCUGGCUGAAGGUGGGGAGGAGGAGGAGCCGAUCUUCAACGAGUCGCUCGCGCCCUCGGCGGGCUCGCUCGACUCAGCUUCAGGCCCGACAAGCUCUUCCUCGCCGGCAAGCUCCUCUCGCUCGACAAGGCUUGCCGCCUCUGCUGCCUCUGCCUCCUCCACGGUGAAUCCGAACUCGCCCGCGGCAGCGGCUGCUGCCGCCUCUUCCAGCCUGGUGGCGAUGCGCUGCAUCUCAUCAUCGGUGGUGUCGCGGGUGAGGCUCUUCUGUUCAUCAGGGCGGACCGGCACUUCUACCAGGCCGUCAAAGAACUCCUGCAUGACGUCGUCUGCAGGCUCUUGCCAAGUUGGGACGAUUCCAUGCGAAUCGCACAACGGCAUCAUUGCACGGAUGCGGUCGACCGAGGAGUUGUUGCACAGCGGAACGACACCCCUCGGCAACAUGAACGCUUCGGGAUGUUGAGGAUCACGCUUGAAUAGUUCGAGGAUCAUCGCGUCCAAUUCCAGCACAGUGAAGUUGAAGUUGAGGCCCGGGCGCAGCCUCAUGAUAUCCGCCGCGUUCUGGAACUCCCAGGCAGGUCUCCUCCUCUCCUACAGGGGGGCGAUGCGGCGGCGAAGAAAAUCUGCGCCAACGGCGCCUACUGUGAGCCCGGCAAGCCUGAGGCGUAGGAUACGGGUGACGGCAAUCUUCAGCCUAUCAUCUUCCGGGGCCACGUUGCUCCAAUCGUUGCCGCGCGCUACUGGGGCUUGGCGCUGGGUGGUAAAUCGCUGCGGAUUCUCCUCGACAAUCCAGCACCAUUCUGCUCUCCAUUCCUCCCACUUGCUACGGAGCUCUCCCUCCAGAUAAGCUUCCUUCUUGCCAGUUCUCGAGAUCUAGGCGAUUCCGCCGGAUAAAUGCUCCCCUCUCUCAACUCGGGGCAUAAAGAAGUGGCGAAAAGGGGCUACAUUUCGAUAGACUCCGACAAAGUUUUCGCAGAGAUGUGCGAAAAUUGCCAUGGUCAAAACGGCGUUGGGGGUGAAGUCAAGGAGGCGGAACCCGUAGGUGUUCAUGAUAUCGCAGAAAAAUUCAGAGAAAGGCGGGCAGAGCCCGCAGUAGAAGAACAGCGCGAAGAAAGGGUAUCCAUUCGGAGCCAGUUCCGAAGCGGCAGCUGGGAGUACCUUCGUACACGGAUGCGCUCGCGUCUCCGUCGACCAGAAGAGGUAAUAGUACUCCCUCAGCUCCUUCGCGGCGAGCUGGGGGGGAGAUUGCCCGCUCCUUUCGCAGCACCACGAGCCGCUGCGCCUCGGCCGACUUCACGACCUUCCCCUUGUCGCUUUCGGAGCCAUGGCGGAGGUGGUGGGGGAGAUCGACGGCGUUGGUGAUGCUGGUGGCGAUGAGGGGCGGAGCGCUGCUCUCUUUCAGCUUUGGGAAGAAGGGGGGAGCGGCGGAGAUUACUGAGAUUGGAGUAGCAACCGGCGAGAUGGGCGAACUGCCCCUAUUUCCCCUGCUUAUAAAGAGGGAGGGGGCGGGCGUUCCGUCUUUCCGAAUAAAGAAACCACCCACGAUCUCUUCCACGACGCCGCAUUCGACGCGUGCCGUUCGAGGAGGGCGCGGUGGAUACGGAGUAAGAUACGGCGUAACCCAGGCCGCGUGUGCCCGUGCCCUGUUUUUGGCCUGGCCCAACAGCGCUCGGCACCGUGUGUGGCCCAGGCCCGGGGGCUCCUAUCGGUGUACUAGAGUAGGGGUACCCUAGUAUCCCGAACUUGUGCACGGGCAGUUGCAGCACCCCGCGGCAAGGCUUGCCGGAUGACCGCCAAGGUCCUCCGUGGUUCCUUUGGAGCCAUUCAAGAACAAAGUAUUCAAGCCAAGGAGACAAGGCCCCGGCAAGAGGAGCUUGCCGGGAAGGCCAACCAAGGUAUCUCAAGGAACUUGCCGCGACGCGCCACGCGUCCCAGCGAGGCUCGGUGAGCGACAAGCUUCCGGACGCGACAAGACAACGACCGCGGCAAGGCGCUUGACACGGCAAGUUACCACACUGUACUCGCGCUCCAGCACAUCCACCAACGUGUCGCCCUGGGGCCUUUCCAGGCGCACGUGGCAAGAGGCUGUGCAGCCAGCGGUCCGCGGUGGCAAGCGACGCUGACAAGAUGGCCAUAGUGGCGAGCGGUGGCGUCCCUGACGGUCCCUUUUUGCACUAUUUGGGCGACGUAGACGAGCAUUUAAUGCCUUUGUCCCCUGCCGUCAGGGUUAGGUAUGAUACAUUGUACAGGUAGUUGUACCAACCGCAAUUCCUUUUCCAUUUUUACCCUUGUCUACGUUGCCACCUGUCGGAAACCCCUUUAGCAUAUAAAAGGAGGCCCAUGCGCAACGUAGAAGUGGUUCGAAGGCAGAAAAACACUCAUGCUCGGUCUCGUUAGCAGCUAGUGUGUACUGUAGCACUCAGCGCUCCCGAGCAAGAACUCAAUACACCCAGACAUGCAGCAGUAGGAGUGUUAUCUCUCCGGAGAGCUCCGAAGCUGGGUAAACUGCUCGUGUGCUUCGCCUCGAUCUGCUCUUCGUGCGAUCUCCGCCCCCCGCCGAACCGAAAGGGGCUCGGUCCGCCGGUCCCAUAGGUGUUCGUGGAUCAGUUUCCCCGACAUGCCCCCCUUGGAGAUCCCAUCUCCUAGGGUCGGCGCCCCCCUAGGGGCCCUAUAUAAAGAGGGGGGAGGGAAGGCAGCCGCACCCAUGCUCUUGGCGCCUCCCUCUCCCCUUGUUACACCUCUCCCUCUCACAGAAGCUUGGCGAAGCCCUGCCGAGAUCGCUGCUAAAAGAUGUAAAGUUGAUAACGAUAGUCCCACAUACUUGUGGCACUGCCGCCAUGGUCAUAUUGCUGUCAAGCACAUGAAGAAGCUCCAUGUUGAUGGACUUUUAGAGUCUCUCGAUUAUGAAUCAUUUGACACAUGCGAACCAUGCCUCAUGGGCAAAAUGACCAAGACUCCGUUCUCUGGAACAAUGGAGCGAGCAACCAACUUAUUGGAAAUUAUACAUACUGAUGUGUGCGGUCCAAUGAGCAUUGAGGCUCACGGAGGAUAUCAUUAUGUUCUCACUCUCACUGACGACUUGAGUAGAUAUGGGUAUGUCUACUUGAUGAAACACAAGUCUGAGACCUUUGAAAAGUUCAAGGAAUUUCAGAAUGAGGUAGAGAAUCAACGUGACCAAAAGAUAAAGUUCCUACGAUCAGAUCGUGGAGGAGAAUAUUUAAGUCACGAAUUUGGUACGCACUUAAGGAAAUGUGGAAUCGUUUCACAACUCAUGCCGCCUGGAACACCUCAGCGUAACAGUGUGUCCGAACGUUGUAAUCGCACUUUAUUGGAUAUGGUGCGAUCUAUGAUGUCUCUUACCGAUUUGCCGCUAUCUUUUUGGGGAUACGCUCUAGAGAUAGCUACAUUCACUUUAAAUAGGGCACCGUCUAAAUCCGUUGAGACGACACCGUAUGAAUUAUGGUUUGGGAAGAAACCUAAGCUGUCAUUUCUAAAAGUUUGGGGAUGCGAUGCUUAUGUCAAGAAACUUCAACCUGAAAAGCUUGAACUCAAGUCGGAAAAAUGCGUCUUCAUAGGAUACCCUAAGGAAACCAUUGGGUAUACCUUCUACCUCAGAUCCGAAGGCAAGAUCUUUGUUGACCAGAACGGGUCCUUUCUGGAGAAAGAGUUUCUCUCGAGAGAAGUAAGUGGGAGGAAAGUGGAACUUGAUGAAGUACUACCUCUUGAACCGGUGAGUAGCGCAACUCAGGAAGAUGUUCCUGUGGUGCCAGCACCAACUGAAGCGGAAGUUAAUGAUGAUGAUCAAGGUACUUCGGAUCAAGUUACUACUGAACUUCAUAGGUCCACGAGGACACGUUCCACACCAGAGUGGUAUGGCAACCCUGUCCUGGAAAUCAUGUUGUUAGACAAUGGUGAACCUUCGAACUAUGAAGAAGCGAUGGCGGGCCCAGAUUCCAACAAAUGGCUUGAAGCCAUGCAAUCCGAGAUAGGAUCCAUGUAUGAAAACAAAGUAUGGACUUUGACAGACUUGCCCGAUGAUCGGCGAGUGAUAGAAAACAAAUGGAUCUUUAAGAAGAAGAUGGACGCGGAUGGUAAUGUUACCAUCUAUAAAGCUCGACUUGUCGCUAAGGGUUAUCGGCAAGUUCAAGGGGUUGACUACGAUGAGACAUUCUCUCCCGUAGCGAAGCUAAAGUCCGUACGAUUCAUGUUAGCAAUUGUCGCAUACUAUGAUUAUGAGAUAUGGCAAAUGGAUGUCAAAACGGCAUUCCUUAACGGUCAUCUUAAGGAAGUACUGUAUAUGAUGCAGCCGGAAGGUUUUGUCGACCCUGAGAAUGCUAACAAGGUAUGUAAGCUCCAGUGAUCCAUUUAUGGGCUGGUGCAAGCAUCUCGGAGUUGGGACAUUCGCUUUGAUGAGAUGAUCAAAGCGUUUGGGUUUAUGCAGACUUAUGGAGAAGCCUACGUUUACAAGAAAGUGAGUGGGAGCGUUGUAGCAUUUCUCAUAUUAUAUGUAGAUGACAUACUUUUGAUGGGAAAUGAUAUAGAACUCUUGGACAACAUUAAGGCCUACUUGAAUAAGUGUUUUUCAAUGAAGGACCUUGGAGAAACUGCUUACAUACUAGGCAUCAAGAUCCAUAGGGAUAGAUCAAGACGCCUCAUAGGUCUUUCACAAAGCACAUACCUUGAUAAGAUAUUGAAGAAGUUCAAUAUGGAUCAGUCUAAGAAGGGGUUCUUGCCUGUGUUGCAAGGUGUGAAAUUGAGCUCAGCUCAAUGCCCGACCACCGCAGAAGAUAUCGAAGAGAUGAGUGUCAUCCCCUAUGCCUCAGCCAUAGGGUCUAUUAUGUAUGCCAUGCUAUGUACCAGACCUGAUGUAAGCCUUGCCGUAAGUUUGGUAGGAAAGUACCAAAGUAAUCCCGGCAAGGAACACUAGACAGCGGUCAAGAAUAUCAUGAAGUACCUGAAGAGGAAUAAGGAUAUGUUUCUCGUUUUUGGAGGUGACGAAGAGCUCGUCGUAAAGGGUUACGUCGACGCUAGCUUCGACAUAGAUCUGGAUGACUCUAAGUCACAAACCGGAUACGUGUAUAUUUUGAAUGGUGGGGCAGUAAGCUGGUGUAGUUGCAAGCAAAGCGUCGUGGCAGGAUCUACAUGUGAAGCAGAGUACAUGGCAGCCUCGGAGGCAGCGCAUGAAGCAAUCUGGGUGAAGGAGUUCAUCACCGACCUAGGAGUCAUACCCCAUGCGUCGGGGCCGAUCAAACUCUUCUGUGACAACACUAGAGCUAUUGCACUUGCCAAGGAGCUCAGGUUUCACAAGAAGACAAGGCACAUCAAGCGUCGCUUCAACUCCAUACGUGAAAAUGUUCAAGAUGGAGACAUAGAUAUUUGUAAAGUACAUACGGACCUGAAUGUGGCAGAUCUAUUGACUAAACCUCUCCCUAGGGCAAAACAUGAUCAACACCAGAACUCUAUGGGUGUUUGAUUCAUCACAAUGUAACUAGAUGAUUGACUCUAGUGCAAGUGGGAGACUUUUGGAAAUAUGCCCUAGAGGCAAUAAUAAAAUGGUUAUUAUUAUAUUUCUUUGUUCAUGAUAAUUGUCUGUUAUUCAUGCUAUAAAUGUGUUAUCCAGAAAUCGUAAUACACGUGUGAAUACAUAGACCACAACAUGUCCCUAGUGAGCCGCUAGUUGACUAGCUCGUUGAUCAACAGAUAGUCAUGGUUUCCUGACUAUGAACAUUGGAUGUCAUUGAUAACGGGAUCACAUCAUUAGGAGAAUGAUGUGAUGGACGAGACCCAAUCCUAAGCAUAGCUCAAAGAUCGUGUAGUUCGUUUAGCUAGAGCUUUUCCAAAUGUCAAGUAUCAUUUCCUUAGACCAUGAGAUUGUGCAACUCCCGGAUACCAUAGGAGUGCUUUGGGUGUGCCAAACGUCACAACGUAACUGGGUGACUAUAAAGGUGCACUAUGGGUAUCUCCGAAAGUGUCUGUUGGGUUGGCACGAAUCGAGACUGGGAUUUGUCACUCCGUAUGACAGAGAGGUAUCUCUGGGCCCACUCGGUAAUGCAUCAUCAUAAUGAGCUCAAUGUGACCAAGUGUCUGGUCACGGGAUCAUGCAUUACGGUACGAGUAAACUGACUUGCCGGUAACGAGAUUAAACGAGGUAUUGGGAUACCGACGAUCGAAUCUCGGGCAUCUAAUGUACCAAUUGACAAAGGGAAUUGUAUACGGGGUUGCUUGAGUCCUCGACAUCGUGGUUCAUCCGAUGAGAUCAUCGAGGAGCAUGUGGGAGCCAACAUGGGUAUCCAGAUCCCGCUGUUGGUUAUUGAUCGGAGAGGCGUCUCGGUCAUGUCUGCAUGUCUCCCGAACCCAUAGGGUCUACACACUUAAGGUUCGGUGACGCUAGGGUUGUAAAGAUACGAGUAUGCAGUAACCCGAAAGUUGUUCGGAGUCCCGAAUGAGAUCCCGAACGUCACGAGGAGUUCUGGAAUGGUCCAGAGGUAAAUAAUUAUAUAUAGGAAGUCAAGUUUCAGCCAUCGGGAAAGUUUUGGGGGUUACCGGUAUUGUACCGGGACCACCGGAAGGGUCCCGGGGGUCCACCGGGUGAGGCCACCUAUCCCGGAGGGCCCCAUGGGCUGAAGUGAGAGGGGAACCAGCCCCUGGUGGGCUGGUGCGCCCCCCCUUGGCCCCCCCUGCGCCUAGGGUUGGAAACCCUAGGGGUGGGGGGCGCCUCCACUUGCCUUGGGGGCAAGCCACCCCCUUGGCCGCAGCCCCCCCCUCCCUUGGAGAUCCCAUCUCCUAGGGCCGGCGCCCCCCCUAGGGGCCCUAUAUAAAGAGGGGGGAGGGAGGGAAGCUGCACCCAUGCUCUUGGCGCCUCCCUCUCCGCUUGUUACACCUUUCCCUCUCACAGAAGCUUGGCGAAGCCCUGCCGAGAUCGCUGCUGCAUCCACCACCACGCCGUCGUGCUGCUGGAUCUUCAUCAACCUCUCCUUUCCCCUUGCUGGAUCAAGAAGGAGGAGACGUCUUCCUCAACCGUACGUGUGUUGAACGCGGAGGUGCCGUCCGUUCGGCGCUAGGAUCUCCGUGAUUUGGAUCACGACGAGUACGACUCCCUCAACCCCGUUCUCUUGAACGCUUCCGCUCGCGAUCUACAAGGGUAUGUAGAUGCACUCCUCUCUCUCGUUGCUAGAUGAACUCAUAGAUUGAUCUUGGUGAAAGCGUAGAAAAAAUUUAUUUUCUGCAACGUUCCCCAACAUGGAGUAAUAGUAGUAGAUGCAGAAUCGUUUCGGUCUACUUAACAUGGACGUGAUGCCUAUGUUCAUGAUCAUUGCCUUAGAUAUUGUCAUAACUUUGCACUUUUUUUAUCAAUUGCUCGGCAUUAAUUUGUUCACCCACCAUAAUAUUUGCUAUCUUGAGAGAAGCCACUAGUGAAACCUAUGGGCCCCGGGUCUCUUUUCCAUUAUAUUGAAUCUUGUUUACAUCUUAUUAGUUUCCCGUCAACUUGCCAAUUUCUGUCGACGUUCCCUAUUGUAAUCUUACUUUCCAAUCUAUAAAUGAAAAAUACCAAAAAUAUUUACUUUACCGUUUAUCUAUCUCUAUCAGAUCUCACUUUUGCAAGUGACCGUGAAGGGAUUGACAGCCCCUUUACCGCGUUGGGUGCAAGUUGUUGAUUGCUUGUGCAGGUAUUCGGUGACUUGUGCGUUGUCACCUACUGGAUUGAUACCUUGGUUCUCAAACUAAGGGAAAUACUUAUGCUACUUUGCUGCAUCACCCUUUACUCUUCAAGCGAAAAACCAACACAAGCUCAAGAGGUAGCAGCUACUAGAUAUAGACAUGUAGGUCUAUGGUAAACUACUCAUGCAUCAUCGAAAGGCAACAAGGAUGAUGUAGAAGCCCUCCAUGAUUGAUUCCCCCUUUGGUAGAGUACCGGAAAAGGCUCAAAAUGGGAUCACAGAAGAAUAGGAGGUUGCGGCGGCAGAAAAAAUGUUUAAUAUGGCUCUUUUGGGGUUUCCCAAAAUUUGAGAAUUUAUAGAAGUGGAAUUAGGUCAGACGGAGCCCUGUGGGGCCCACAAGUUAACAGGGUGUGGCCCGAGUGGGCGCGCCCUGUUGCCUUGUCAUCUCCUCGUUUGUCCUCUGGUCUCCUCCCGAAGCUUCUAGGGUCUCUUAUGUACAGGAAAAAUAGUCAAAAAGUUUCAUAGCAUCUAUACUCUAUUUGGUACCGAUUUUCUGGAAAACCAAAAACACGCAGAAAACAACAACUGGCACAAGGCACUUGGUUAAUAGGUUAGUUCCCAAAAAUUAUAUAAAAUAGCAUAAAAAUGCAUAUAAAGCAUCCAAGGUUGAUAAUAUAAUAGCAUGAAACAAUAAAAAAUUAUAGAUACGUUGGAGACGUAUCAGCAUCCCCAAUCUUAAUUCCUGCUUGUCCUCGUAGAGUAGGUAAAUGAUAAAAACAGAAUUUUUGAUGUGAAAUGCUACCUAUCAUGUGUAUAAUGUAAUCUCUUUAUGGUAUAAUCGUUGAGAAACGACGAAGUAACAAUAUCAACAUAAUAAUAUCCAUGGAUAUAUAAACAUGAUCAUUACUUUUUCAAAACAUACGAUUCUUAACGAAUGUUAUCCCCACUCAUCUACCAUUCUUAAGAAGUUGCUCCCCACUACUCCCUAUUCUCUCACCAUGCACACUGUCCACAUCAUCAUGGUGCCACAUCAGCUUACAACUUCUCCACUUCAACAACUCCCAACAUGCAUGCUUUAUUUUUAGCAUCAUCUUCUCCGCACUUGCAUGCACCACUAUUAAUGUCCUAUCCCCAUAUUGUCCCGACAGUAAACCACUAGUCUGCCAUGUUCCCUUCCUCCCGCUUCCUCUCCUGUCCGAGGAGUUAUAAAAUCUCCACCAUGAUUUAUUCUACCCUUUGGGCAACCCAUCAGCAUUGGAAAGUCUAGAACAUAUAUGUUCCUUGGUUUUUCUCUCUUGUUAAUCUUACAUCACCUCACCUCUGCUGCAGUUUGAUGGAUCCAUAGCUCUUGAAAUUGAUACCACUGUCCCUGCUGUAAGCAGGCAUGGAAGAACCCUUGCCGUGAUUAUAGCUAGGAGCUCACAUGGAGCCGCACCAUUCUUUCUAGGUAUUAAUUCCACUUUUCACCCCGCCAACUGGGUAGUUAUAUCGGAUGGAAGAACAAAUGAUUACCUCUCCCUUCGUCCUCUUUAUCUUCUCCAUAUUUUACUCUUCAAAUCAUUACUUAUUCCCUUGAUGUUUGAAUUCAUCUUCUGCACCUUCCACACCAAGGGAUAUCCAGUCGAUCUCCCACCAAGCGAAAUGCGCUGCUGUCAGAUCCUAUGAAGCCAACACAGUCUAUCGCAUGAUGCUCAGCAUCUGACCCCAGGGAGUCGCUCGCCACCGUCCAACCCGGGGACGCCGUACCAUCCUGGUUGAUGUAGGGGCUUCCGACUCCAAUGCGCUCCGCACGCUACCAUGUUUGAUUGAUGAACGUCGGUGAAUCUGCUUUGUACGUCAUAGCGGAGGCGAGCAUGUACUGGUCGCCUGCCUUCUCUCAUAUUCUCGCCACCCUCCACUGACACAUUGAUCUUGUCGCCUUCAGCGCUGCCACCAAGCAACAUAGUGAAUCGCAUCAUGUUCGUCGAUGCGGUAUCCAACCACAUCACAUCGCUCGCCACCGUCCGACCCAUGGACGUCGUCCCAUCCUUAUCCAGCGCAUCACUCGUUGUCCUAUUGAUGGGCACCGGGGAGUUCGCAUUGUAGGCGUCAGGUCGUUCGCCUUCUUCUCCUACUCACCAUGCUCCACUGCUGCCUCUACCCCAACGACUUCCGCAUGACCGCCAAGCAAGGGCACACAUGUGAGCUCCCUAUUUCAAUCCAUUAUUUACGCUAUGUUGCCGAUUCUGUCUGAGCCCCAGCCCCCUUAUUUGAUUUGUCUGGUAUUUUGGACUCUGCAAUUUGAUUGACUGGACUAUAUACAUAGAUAUGUGGAUUUAAAGACAUUUUUUGCGGAAACAGAGGCGACGCAGUUGUACGAGUUCCCUCCCGGUGAUAAUAGUUGUGGAAUUUGGUACUAAACACAAGGACAAUUAAACCCAUGACGUUUAUGAUGUGAUUAUGUAGAUUUUUUUGUAGUUUGCACAACAAUGUAAUAGGGUUGCUAUUCUGAUUAUUUUUUGAAUCAAAUGUUACUAUAUGGAGUGAUUUAUAUCUUGGCAUUAUUCAUUUUUAUGGCCAUGUGACAAUAUUUGGAAGCAGACUAUGAAGGACAAUGCAGGAAGUAAGGAUCCACCUCUUGGGAUUUCCAAUAUCCUUUUCUUUUCAAUUGUUUAAAUCAUUGUGCGAGUGUUGUGUGUCAUAAAACAAAUACAAAAUUUAUUGCAUGAAAAUGAAAAUUGACAUAUAACUGAUUCCAAUUCUUAUCAUCUUGGCCGCAACAAAAUCCCGCAACAACAUGCGGGGUGUCAUCUAGUUUUAUCAUCUUAGCAUGGCAUGACUCCGCCUUCACCGCAUAAAUAUAAAUCAUGAGCACCUUGGUGUCAAAACAGGCAAUUGGAUCAUACUUCUAACGGCUUCAGCAUUUUCAACCCCACACAAUACAUGAGCGUGAGCCUUGGAUAUAUCACUAUAUGUGGAAUAGAAUGCGCUACUAGGGAUCAAUAAGGAGAAGUCAAAAAAGUAAGAAAGUCUUGCAUCAACGCGACUAAUCGAUGGGCUAUAGAGAUGCCCAUAAUCGAUGUCAAUACGAGGAGUAGAGAUUGCCAUGCAACGGAUGCACUAUGAGCUAUAAGUGUAUGAAAUCUCAACGGAGACUAAGUGGGUGUGCAUCCAACUUGCUUGCUCAUGAAGACCUCGGGCAUAUGAGCAAGUCCAUUAUCCGAAUAUACAAGCCAAAUUCUAUAACAAAAAAUUCUCAUUAGUAUAUGAAAGUGACAACUCAUGAGACUCUCUGUAUGAAGAACACGGUGCUACUCUGAAGCACAAGUGUGGUAAAGGAUAGUAACAUUACCCCUUAUCUCUUUUCUCUCAUUUUUUGUUGGGAUCUUUUUGGCCUCUUUUUUCGUCUAAAAUCUCAUCCCGGCUUGUAGGGGAAUCAUAGUCUCCAUUAUCCUUUCCUCACUGGGACACUGCUCUAAUAAUGAUGAACAUCACACUUUUAUUUACUUACAACUCGAUAACUAGAAUAAUAUGACUCUAUAUGUAUGCCUCUAGUAGUGUACCAGGAUGUGCAAUGAUGCUAGCAUAACAUGUAUAAUAAUGAUGAACGGUGGUUGUGCCACAAAUAUCAUGUCAGCUCUAUGAUCAUGCAAAGCAAUAUGACAAUCAACAUGCAUGUCAUGAAAAUGGAACGGUAGAAGUAGCAUGACAAUAUAUCUCGGAAGCUAUGGAAAUGCCAUAAUAGGUAGGUAUGGUGGUUGUUUUGAGGAAGAUAUAAGGAGGCUUAUAUGUGAUAGAUCACAUCAUAUGACGGGGUUUGGAUGCAUCGACGAAGUUUUCACCAACUCUCGAGGUGAUAAAGGGUAAUGCACGGUAUCGAAGAGGCUAGCAAAUUGCGGAAAGGUAAGAGUGCAUGUAAUCCAUGGACUCACAUUAGUCAUAAAGAACUCACAUACAUAGGUCAAUUUAACUCAUGAGAUAGGUUAGUACACAUAAAAAUAAAUCACCCAAACAUGUACUGUCAGGACAAGUUGCAUAAUUAUUUACAACAUUAGCUAUUGUAUACUAUCAUUUUCACAAUUUAUAUUCCCCAAUAUAAACCAUUAACUUUAGAACAAGCACAUAACAAAAACAGGACAACAAUGUGUCAAAACCAGAACAAUAUGUAGUCUUAUUAAGAUGUGUACUUCUAUAACUCUAAAAAAUCUAAAAAGUUAGGAUGCAACAGACGAUUUGUAAUGCAGUACUAUGUACAAAUUUCAGGAAUUGAUCACAUUUCAGUACAUAAUGAAAAUUUGAAGACAAGAGGUAAUUUUUUUGUUGCUACACAGAACCUAACAACAUGCAAUUGCAACAUCCCAAAGGCUAAACUUGGCACAUUACUGAAAGCAAAGAUACACACAUAAUUACUACAGUAGCAAAGCAUGUUGAGACACAAAACAAAAAACAAAAAUAAAG
rnacentral:lncRNA from 1 species